UGACAUGGGAGAAGACGAGUACGAUCCACCCAUCAUCCUUGGGAGACCGUUCCUCAGCACCGUUAAAGCAAUCAUCUACAUUGGAACCAGAGAAGUCCACAUGCACUUCCCCUCUGAGAAGGUACAUCGCUAUUUUACUGACCUUAACUAUAUAGUUGAAGACUCUAAGCAAGUCAGGACAAGAAGAAGACGAUGCAACCGCAACCAGAGGAGGCAAAUGAUCAAGGACGGAUGGGCAGACUAUGAAUGAGAAGUGGUAAGGUCCAAAGACAUACAACUUGAACAGAACUGUCCUGAGGAGACCGUAGCACCGAGUCAGGUGUGGAGAGAAAAGAUAGUUAUACAUGAAGACCAGGCGCCGCCGGAACCACCGACUACACCAUCCAACGAAUCCCAGAACGACUGAGAAAAUGGAGAAUCCCGUUCAGAGGACUUAAAAACACCGAACGCCUUGCCAAGAGGUAAACUUGGUAGUUAUCCUUUUCCUUUCAAUUAUUUAAAAUAUUUUGCUUAGUUAAUCAAGUUCAUAUCAUCUUGAAAAGAAAAUAAAAAUGUUGAAGAUAGUAAGCCCCAUGUGAGUAUGCUCAUGGCAUAAAACCCAUAAGUACAUUGACUGUGGUGGCGUAAAAAUAAAAUAAAUAUAUUCCUGUCCUAUAAAAAAUGAAAAUAUAAAAAUAAAUUUAUGAUCCUACCAAAGAGAGUGAUAUUUAUUAGAGGAAGCUCAACAUGAUAACGGCUAAGAGAUUUUAUGCUAACACUUAACCAGUUCCACAAAGUUUUGUUGUCUAUUUGAGCUCCACAGAAUUCAAGGAUCAAAGAAGACUAGCAGACGGAGGACAUCCUAAUUACUGUCAGGGUGCUGCCGACAUUCAAAUACACCUCCGCCACCUGCUAGCUACAUCAGAAGAAAUUUCGUCAAAAUCCAGCUUGGGGGAGAGCACCCCCAUUUAUCCAGCUAAGUGUUCUACUCACGUUUAUACUUUACUCAAAUAAUAAAAAGAUGCAUGAUCAUAAAAACCCAAAUAAAGAUUUUGUGCUUAUAUAUAUAUAUUUGCUUAGUUUGCUAAAUAAAUAAAUAAAUAAAGUUUGCUAUGAACCCUCAUGAUAAGCUCUCACAUGGAAAUGAUGAAUAGUUGCUCUACAAUGACUAGUUCUCAAAAUUGAAAUCUCUCUCAAGUUUAGACAUAACUGUUAUAAUUUAAACCUGAACUUGUGGGAAGAGAACUUGAUCUGAAGUCUAAGUCGUUAACGGAUACGAUAUGGGAAGGUUGAGCUGCUGUUUAUCUGUUCCUAGAGAUGCUAGAAUUCUGGAGAAUUUUAUCUUUGAAAAUCUUUAAAAUGUUGCAUGACUACCACAGCCAUAUAUACAUGCUUGCUAGACUUUGAGCCACACAUUUACUUUUUACUGCUUAUGAGCAUUGAGUGUGGUCAAGCUGUGUAGACCCUUAGGAGCUUGUCAUGUGGUUAAAUCAAGAUUCACUUGCACGUUCACUCAUACAUGCUGCUUCUACUCUGGAAGUACGCAUCCAUAUAUAUCCACCCAUUUCCAUCUCCAGAACCACCCAAAAAUAUUCUACUCCUAAUCCGGGAGAGAAUAGCCAAAAACAUUUUUGUUUUCCCCUGUGAAAUAAAUGCUCAAGUUAUCUUGGUUACUACCACUUGCUACAUUAUUUCAAGAGAUGAGUGCUCUAAAAAAAAGAGAGAAAAAAAAGAUACGAGGAAAUAAAAGGGGCAAGUGCCUAGAACCUCGAAAGAAAAGAAAAAGUGAGAUGAGAGGUAAAAAUGGACAAGUGUCCGACAGUAGAACUAGGGGUACAAGAUACCCACCUGAGAGAAAAGAAAAAUAAAAUAUAGAGCAUCUCAUUCUCCUCAAAAGCUUUCAAAAGAGCAAGAAAGGUAUGUAUCCCCUCAAAAGAUCACAAGUAGAAUUAGACUUUCACCAUUGUUAUCACCAUCAUCACCAUACACCAUUCAUUCGCCACACAUGCACAUCUUGAUUUGACUUAUUGACUUGUUCUUCUGGAUCCAUGGUUUGACUAUGCAAUAAAUGUCUUGUAAGUAUGUAUUAGCUGUCUCCCAGCUAUGAGCUCCAGAUAUCAAAACCAUAUUAGAGUAGGGUGAGAGAGAAGGCAAUGCCACUAUGCCUCAUAUCAAAAAUACCACAUACUUUGAGAGAAGGCAUACACCAUUAGUGCCUUGGUAAGGAUCCAGAAAUACCACAAAAGAGAGACUAGAGAGAGUCAUACAAGGAAUCUCUGAGUUUUAUUUGAAAAUCUGCAAAAAACUCCAGAGCUAUAGUUAAUCAAAGAACAAGAGACAUGGCGCUUGACUAGACCGUUCUAUCUUUUAACUGCUCAAGACACAAGUGACGGUUGCAAGCCCCAUGGUGGAAGGUAAAAUGAGUAAUUUUAAAUCUUAAAAGUAUACCCUAACCUAGAGAAGAGAUCUUGCUUGAACGCAUGUGUACCUUUAAGGCAUGAAACCACUGCAGAAACUCUUGAGUUCAUCUUUGCUCAGGGACGAGCAAAGGUUAAGCUUGGGGGAGCUUGUUGACGGUCCUUAAUGGUCACAUUUAACCGUCAACUAAUCAUGGAUAAGGAUCCAAAUGCAACUAACACCCAGACUUAGGGUUUUAUCUAACAGAAUUCCACGAGUUUUGGUGUUUGUCUAUUUCAGUAGGGGGUUAUCAGGAAAUACGGAAGAAAGGCCCACACGUCGGGUUUACAUAGAGAUAUUAACGUGCCGUGCAAUUUUCUAUCAUCUAGAAGACUCCAGAAGCCAUGGGAACGAAGCGGAGGACGAGAGGGCUCAGGGACAGGGCGCCCGCCCUAGUCCUUAGGGCGCCCACCCACUUCCAGAGUCCAAUCAGGACACGUUUCACGGAUCUUGCUCCACCGACCUAAAGGAUCAAGGAAAAUCAUGCGAUUAAUGUCGGUUUGAUCCGACGGCCUAGAUUCAUCUGAAAAGACUAUAUAAGCAAGGCUCCCUGGCCCCUGGAGAUCAUACCUCUUCUACAGAAUCAAAGUUAGGGUUUCAAUUCUUCAUCCAAGUAGAGAGGAUCCCUCUAGUUCAUCUAUUUCUAGUUCUAGUUCCUCUAGUUCUAGUUCAUCUAGUUUUAGUUCCUCUAGUUCUAGUUCUAGUUCGUUCUAGUUAUAAUCUAGAAAAUAGGGAGAGAGAAGAGGAGAGCGGAGGAGGAGCCGGAUGUGUCGGAUCUUCCUCAACAUUAUACUUUUGCUACAACUGGUUCGUUCUUCAUCGUUCUCCAAGUUCUUCAAUUUAUAAUUCCUGAGUUCUUUAAUUACUUUUAUUUACAUUCAAGUUAUUUAUUGGAUUCCCGCUUGGAUCAAGUGCUCUAGUCUUUAUAACGCUAGAGUAGUAAUUAAUAGAUUAGACGCGGUGUUUAGUCUUGCAAUUACCUCGAAUUGCACCCAAUCCUGCGGAUUGUUGUGAUAGCCCUAGGGUAGUGACAGCCCUAACGGUCUACGUAUUCCACCUCGUUCGGAUCGGUGUUUGUAGGACCGUAGUCAGAGCUUCCUAGCCCCCUUCUCAUCUCUUUCUGUGGUUAGUGUUCUGAUGUCCCGAAAUAAAUAAUCUUUGAAGUAAUUCUUGAUUCUUAGAUCAACUAGAGAACUCUCAGGAAACCUCCUCUCUUCCCACCAAAAAUAAUUAUAUAGUUAUCCUUGGGCGAUCUUGAAUCUUAAUUAGUACACUCACGUUCCCUGUGGAAAAUCGAUACUCUGGAAUACUCCCGGGUGAAAGCUACAUCGGUAUCCGUGCGCUUGCGGAUUUUUCUGUUUGCGUUUAAAAUACCCUACAAUGGUACAAUAUCACCUUGUGGAAGCUUUUCUUUCUCAAUGGUUGUGCAUCUUGUUCGUGGCACUCUUCGUCUUGUUCCAUGGAUUAUCUCUCGAGCUAUGUCUUUCUUGUGCAAAUUGUUAAACUUCAUGUGUCUCCUUCUUUAUCUCCAUUCUUUUUGUUAUUCUUCACUCUUUUACUUCAAGCCUGAAUCACAAAGAUAACGGGAUUGCUUUCCCCCAAGCUGAAUGUUGACAUAGUCUUUAAUCUUGAAUCCGCACAACACAGAUGUUCUUCAAUAUUCUUGAGCUUCAAAAUGUCAGUGAUGAUUGCAGCGCUUCCAAGUUGAUGAAGAUAUCUUGAUCUUUGGGGAUUCUCUCUUUAAAUCAUGUUAAACUCAAAUAGACAACAAAACUUGUGGCACCGAUUAAACAUUAGUAGUUGGCCACUUAAGCCUUUGUUGUCCAUGCUUUUUAGAUUUUUCUUAAUUCUUUUUCUAAGCAGAGUUUCAACAAGAUCUCUUUCUUAAUAUAUAUAUAUAUAUAUAUAUUUGGGUUUUAAUCUUUUUAUGAAGCAAAAGGAAAUGGAACAGGAUGAAUGCAUGUUUAUUUACUUUUAUUUUUUUAUUUUUUUUAUUCCACCACGGUGAAUAUCCGCGUGGGCUUUUACACACCACAUAAUUUAUUCACAUGGGGUUUUAGUAUUUAAGAUGCAAUGAGUUAUAUAAAAUAUUUUUAUUAUAUUUUCUAAUGCAAUAAUAAAGCAGAAAAAUAAAUAUGUUAUGGAGAAAUGAUGAUGAAAAAUAAAUAUGCUAAAAAAAUGCAGAAAAGAUAAAUACAAUAAACCUACUAAAGCUAGUGAUACAUUAAAUUAGCAGACUUCAAGAUCAUUAUCAAAAUCUUCACACCAAUUGCUUCCCCGGCAACGGCGCCAAAAAUGCUUGUUGACAUUCGUUAAGUGCAAUAAGAAUAAGAAAAAUUCCGCAAGCGCAGAGAAUAUCAUCGUAGCAUUUUACCGGGAGUAUUCCAGGUAUCGUUAUUUAUAUUUUACCACUGGGAAGCUAAGGUCAAAGAAUCUGAUAACUUACUAUCAUGCAUCUACUAAUUUAAUAAACCAACUAGACUAAAGUAGGGGUAAAUGAUAUAUGAUAGGUAAUAAUAUAAAGGUGAGAAUUCUAUGAUAAAUGCGUAGAUAGCCAUAGUGGGAGGACAACGGGAGAGACCUAGGUUCCUGUAUACUUCUCUAUUACUUCAGUUCUAUGAUAACAAAGAAUGAAUAGAUAUAGCAAUCACAUAUUAGCACUUUGGGUCAUCAAAAUACCAACCACAUUAAGAGAACUGGAAGGGGGCUGGGAAGCUCUGACUACGGUCAUACAAACACCUAUCCAAACGAGGUGGAAUACGUCGACCGUUAGGGCUGUCACUACCCUAGGGCUACCACAACAAUCCGCAGGACUGGAUGCAACCUCAGGUAACCUCUAGUAUAGACACCACGUCUACACUAACGAUUACUACUCUAAUUACCAUGAAUAACUAGAGCACUCGAUGCGAACGGAGAUCCUAUGCCAAAAUAUAACAACUACACUACUCGAUAAUGAUAAAGGCAUAAAAGUAAAUAGAGAAGAUAAAUAUAUUAAAGCAUAAGUCUUAUAAUAAAUAUAAAGACAUACAAAAACUCUAAAGACUUCUCCAGAACCGAAGCGCAGCUCCGCUACCUAACUCCCGAUUAGGACUAAUCUACUACAUUGGAAUGUCUAGCCCUAAUUCUCUAUAGAGGAAAGGUUAUCCUUCGAGGGCACCUCUCAACUCUUAAUGAUAUGUUCUCCUCUAGGGGCCAGCGGCCUUGCUUAUAUAGCCUCCUCCUCUGUGCCUUUUUGAUUCAGCAGGCGAUGUGGUACUAAACUUUCCACCAUAUCUCAUUAAAAUGCACAUAGGCCUUAAUGGACCAAAAUCUGAUUUGGGCCCAUUUAAUCGUGCAGCUCUUUUAUGUGGAGUCCUUUUAUUAAUAUCUCUUGAUUUUGAUCUCCAAAUAUAGCAAAUAAUAUAUGCAUUUCGAUCAGCUCGACGAGAUCUUUGUAAUGGUGUACUCCAUUCUAUGAUUGGUGCUUGUACUAGGGCGGGCGCCCUAGGAUCAAGGGCAGGCGCCCCAGGAUCAAGGGCGGGCGCCCUGGCCCUGGGCUCGUCUCGGCUCCGCUUCGGUCGAGUUGCUUCUAGAGUCUUCCUGAUUAUGGAAAAUUACCGCACACAUUAAUUCUCUAUGAAAACCCAACGUGUGGGCCUUUCCUUCGUAUUUCCUAAUAACCCCCUGCAGAAAUAGACAAACACCAAAACUCGUGGAAAUCUAUUAGAUGAAACCCUAAGUCUAGGUGUCGGUUGCAUUUGGAUCCUUUUUCAUGAUUAGUUGAUGGUUAAAUGUUAACAUUAAGGACCGUCAAUAGGGUAGUAGCCAUGUCAAGCAAAAAGACUGAUUCAAGACAAUCAAAGAAGUUGUUUUAAGAGGUUAUAUUUCUGAGGUUUGGAACACCUUGGGUGGUUAUAAGUGAUGGAGGAACACAUUUCACUGAUAAGAAGUUUCACUCAUACCUACAAGCUCAUGGAAUACAGCACAAUGUCGCUACUCCAUAUCAACCUCAGACAAGUGCCCUGGCAAAAACAUCAAAUAAACAAAUCAAAAACAUUCUCCAGAAAACAGUAAAUGAGAUGGGAACUUUAUGGAAGGAUUGGUUACCAGAUGCACUAUGGGCAUACCGGACAGCUUAUAAAACACCUUUGGGUAUGUCACCAUAUCAACUAGUAUAUGGUAAGACCUGCCACUUACCGGUUGAACUAGAACAUAAAGCUCACUGGGCUAUCAAAAGAUGGAAUAUGGAUUUAGAAGCUGCAGAAGAGAAAAGAAAAAUGCAACUAUCAGAACUAGAAGAGUGGAGAGAAAAGGCAUAUGACAAUUCGAAGAUGUACAAAGAACGAACAAAGAGAUGGUAGGACCAUAGGAUCAAGAAAAAGGAAUUUGCACCAGGAGAUAAGGUAUUACUUUUUAAUUCCAGGUUCAGAUUAUUCGGGCUUGGAAAAUUGAGGAGCAAAUAGGAAGGACUCUUCACAGUCAUGAAUUCAUCACCACAUGUAGCGGUAACUCUACAAUCAAGUGAAGGUACGUUAUUCAAUGUAAAUGGACACUGACUUAACUUUAUUUAGAACCAUUUGAUUUGGGAGUAGUUGAUGAAAUAGAAUUCAUCCAAUUACCAAUAUAUUAAGCUCUAUUUAUUCUGGUACAAAAUUUUAUCUAAAAACAUAUCUAACAGAAAAUAGGAGGAGUCUAAAGGCACCACGUAGAAGGGCACCUGAGGUGGGCUCCUGGUGGGGUCGGCCAGCGCCUAUGUGGGACCGGUCGGUGCCCCCUACCGCCUCUUGUCUUGACUUUCGUUCCCUAUCCUUCUACACCGUUCCUAUGAACAUUUGCGCAUUAUCCAAUUGUAUUCGGAUAUUCUUUUGUACGGAUCCUGUAGAGCCUAGGAUUUGUCCUCAUCCUGUCUCCUGAGAACCCAUAUAAAUACGUACCUAGACCCCCUCAAUAGUAUCCCAUAAUCCGCCACCUCUUUCCUCAGAGAAGCUCUUCAAUCUAGAUCUACUAGCAAUGGCGGACAAGACAACCGUCUCCUAUGGCACGGACUUCAACAACAUCCCCAGCGAUGACACGAAGGCCAACAUCCUCGCGUAGCCGAAGCCUCUCACCGUUGUGCCACCGAAGCCUCUCGCCGUUGUGCCACCGAAGCCUCUCGCCAUUGUGCCACCGAAGCAAGUCGCUAUGGUGCCCCAGCGUUAUGAGCAAGCCUACUACGUACAAGAUCCAUCUGCUCUUCCUUCACCUCCCACAAGGCUAUUGCUUGAAGGAGGUGCUAAGGGGAAGCAAAUUGCUAUCCUGAAGGGUACUGCGCUUCUUCCACCUAGAGACAAUGAACGGCUCUUGUCGGUCCAAACGAUAUGAAAGGGAAGCUGAUAUGUGCCAAGUACACCGCUGCUCGUCCUAUUAUCCAAGGAGUGCACGCAAACCCUAAUGAGGUAUGCUACACUGAGCAUAUCACACCUAAGCCCAAGCCUAAGAGGAAGAGAGCAACAUCAGCAUUAGCACUUGAAAAAGUUCCCAAGCAGCCAACUCCAACCCUGCGCACCCUCAACGAGAAGCUUGAAGGCCUCUUCAAUAUUGUCAAGGGCAUGGAAGCAUCCAACAACCUGAGGGACAAGCUCAUAGAAGGCAUGGAUACUCAGUUAGGGAUCAGUUUCAAGUUAAUCCGUAGCCUCAAGCGUGAUAAAGACAAGCUUGAAGCAGAGGUUGCAGCCCUCCAAGAAGUAAUUUAGGGUCUCAACAAUUAAGGGCAGCCUUAGUUGCCUAGUUAUCUAUUAAUAAGGCACAAUUCCGCUAGGUUUGGCUAGUUAAUUAGGUCAGUUGAGUCAUAAAUUUUUCGUUAGCUCAGUCGUUAAAGCGUCUGUUAAAUUAUAUAUUAUCGCCGCCAUGAAUAAAGUGCCUUAUCUUUAUUUACUCUACUCUCUAUAUUUCUUUUGGUAUGUGUUUGUCUCUACAUAUUGCGCAGAAAAGUAUACAGGAAAACAAGUGUGUGGGAGGCACAUUGUAGUCACGAAACAAAAAUUCGAUCAGAAAAAUAGUGUAAUCCAGAACAUAAUCGAACCAAGACCGCACACAGCAAAACGGGCUCCGCAUUGCCCAAUAGUGGCCGGCCGGCACCUAGGAGGGGCCGGCCGGUGCCCUGCUCACUCGUCUUCGCUCUCGCUUUAGUCACGGUCAGGUUUGAGUUAAUUACAAUAUAACUGCAUACAUCUUACUUUAAAUUAUCAUCCGAAUCAUAAAUCUUGAUAUUAAAUAUUUUUAACAGAUGAUAAACACCAUUUAAUAUAUGACUUGAAAAUAAAUUGUAUAACACCUGCCAAUUUAGUUAAAUUCUUGUUGUAUGUUUUGCUCUUUUUUACAAAUUUUAUAAAAUGAAGUGCUGUGGGGAUUUCCCCCACAGUUUUUGCCUUAAAAAAAUUCAUGAUAAUUGUGAAAUUUAUAGUACUUCAUGAUUGCUUAAGUUAUUGUGGAAAGAGAGAUAACAAAAUAACGAAUGCUCAAUUCCUGAUAAUUUGUCUUUGGAGAUUUUAUUUUAAAAGGAUAAAAACAAUUAGCUUCACCUCUCUUGUAUUGGAGUCAAAUAAUAAUUGUAUCAUUCUAUUAUUAUGACUUUGGUUGAGAGAUUUAUCAUAUUCCUAGUAUCAUAAAAAUGAAAUAAAAACAUAAUACACUCUAUUAAAGCACUAUUAAGAAGGAGGCAUGAGCUAUUCGUAAAGAAAUCCGAGGAAAUAAAAAGGGACAAGUGUCUGAAACCUCAAAAAGAUAGAUCAUGAGGAAAUAAAAAGGGACAAGUGUUCGGAACCUCGAUUCAAUAAGAAAAGAGAUGAGCAUGUGCUCAUAAGUAGAAUUAUAGAGCUCAUGGUCCCUCCUACAUAAUAUGCUAAGGAGUGGUUGAUUCUUCUGAUCUAGGAAUAUGAUAUUUCCCUCCCUGGUUAUGAACAUCAAAUUUAUAUCACAACUAUUGAUGCCACUACAAAUAAGAAAGGUUGAAGUUAUGUUUUAUUUGCAAACACCACUUACUCUCCAGUAGACAAAAUUCAAGGAAGAUAGUAAUCUAUUUUAAACUAUCCUACUUUGCAAUCACUAUAGAAUUCAUGAUAAGCACUUUAAAUUUCCACAAUGCAUGGUAGCUUGACUGGUUUUAUAUAAUAUAAUUUCCAAGUUAUGCAUUAAAUGUUUAUUGUUUAUGAUAGAACCAACCUUUUCCUCAGGACGAGUAAAAGCCUAAGUGUUGGGGUAAUUGUUGACACCUGUUAUCUCACAGAAUUUGUUAGCAUUUAUUUCUCCACCGGGUAUGAAUGUCUACUAGUAUAUGGUUAUCACUGACAAUUACAAUGAGUUUUGCAUAUUAUGUGUUUUUUAGGGUUUAUUCCAGAAAGAGCGAAAAGGAGGGAUUCAAGUGCAAAAUAAACACGAAACUUAUUCGCGAUGCAUCAACACCGCCAACGGGAUGUGGGAAGACUCCAGAAGACACCCGAAGGCCAGGAGGCUAGAGGCCGCCAGAUACGGCCGGCCGGUGCCCCCUAUUAGGGCUUUGGCCCCCUUCCUGAACCUUCCUCCUCCACCUCCGAGGAGCCAUCUUGGCCGCUUGUUAAGUCGGUUUGAUCCAACGACGCGUAUCCAUCCCACCGAGCUAUAAAUAAAAGGCUAGACCACCCUAGCGGAGGCUCAAUCAAGAGAUGAAGAGUGAGAGCAUUAGAUAGAGAUCCACUAUAUCUAGGCUAGCAAUCAAGAUAUAGAUUAGAGAGAUAGAGUAGAGGAGUAGAGAUUCGGAGGUGUCCUGACCUAUCGGAGCUUCCUCAGAAGUUGUAUUCGUCUGCAUUCGGCUCCCUCGCCCGAAGCUGCAUUCGGAGCUACUUUUGUAUUUACCAUUCUGAUUCAAGUAAGCAACAUGUUUUUAUUGGUUCUUUGGUUUGCAACUCAUAUUAUAUUGAGUACUUUGAUUUGGGUAGCUCCUAGGUCGGAGUAGUGAUUCGUAGCAUAGACGUGGUGUUUGGGCUAUGGUUGCUUGUAGAUGUCCUCUGAUCAGCCAAAUAGUGGUAGCUCACGUAGGUGACUUUAUAGCUGCGUUGAAUCCUCUAUAGUCCACUUCCAAUUAAUAUGACCGAUAGGCUUCUAGGUGUCUGAUACGAGAUUACUCUGUUUCUUCUCUUAUUUGGGUUACUUGCCCGAUAAGACGAUAUUAUACAAAGUUUACCGAUUAUUAGAACCAGAGUACAUUAGCUAUUUCCUCAUUCUCAAUAGUUUUCUAGACUGAUUGUACCCCCUUAGAUUAAGAAGUUAUAGACUAAGUCAUAAAUCACCUACUGUUCUUUUGGGUUCGAUAUUAAAACUGGGUCGAUCUUGAUGAAGUGCUGAUCAGUAUAUAUUUGUGCGCUUGUGGAUAAUCUGAUUAUAAUAAUUAUUAGGGUGCAGUUAAUUUAUACUAACAAUUGCCUAUUUAGAAAGACAUCGUUUCCUAACCAAUGACACUUAAAUUGCUAAAAAAUGCGAACAUGCUAAAAUGGGGAUGCUAAGAACAUGGGAUUCAGGAAAAGGCAAGGCCAUCACAGAUUCAUGAAAACCUAAGCUGAACUCUCGGGAAAAGGACAAAGUGUAGGAUGAAUAAAAAAUUUGUAUUUUGUAUUUUUUUUUGUUGUAAACUCUGAACUUGGUAAAUAGGAAAGGAAAUGCACAUUAACAUUUGAGUCUCAACAUUUAAGAUGUACGACGGGUCUGCCAACACAUAUUUUAACACAAACACAUUCAAAUGUAUUUCAAUACCACUAUUUCUUAAUUUAAGUUGUUUCAUUUUGAGCUUGUCUGGGCUUCUUUGUGCAUUGGGAUCAUAUGUUUUAGAAACACUGCACUUGUUCUUCCUCUUUGCAUGACCAUUCAUCCCGUUUUUGUGUGCCUACUCCCUGCACCCUUUGGCUUUUGACUUUUGGGGGUUUGCUACACUUGAUGAACUUGGACCAGCAACUACACCUAUAGGGUGAAAUGCAAUAUAAGCAACUAAUAAGUCUAGUAUAGAUGUACAAGGAUGAAGUAAAGCAGAACAUAAUGUCUAGUUUUCAAUCCUACAGUUCACGGUGAAGGUCCAGUUAGACUAGAGGCACUUGGACUAUCUUGUGCACCUUAUAUAGCACCACCUUCUAUAGCACCAGUGUUCUGCCGAUUUGCCAUCUUCCUUUUCUUAAUUUCUUCAAAUUCAGAUCACAUCUCCUUAUUGUGCUUCUCCAAAAUAGCAUAGUUUUCAUCACCUAUACAACCCUCAUCUGCUAGUGCUGCAAAAGCGGUGGAUGCAUUGGUCAAUCUCAAAGUUUUCUUGCAGGUCAAUGGCAUCCCACGGGCUACAAGUUCCAUCAAUGCAUUCACAUUUUGGACCUGAUCUAUUUCAAUGCAAUUGCUUGCUACGUCCACCUUUUAAAGAUGUACCUUUCUGGUAUCAAUUUCACACCCAUCCUGACCAUAACCCUCAUAAUGUUGCAGCAAAAUGAUUCUAUCCCUAUCAAACUUGCUGCAUAUUGACGGUCCUUAAGUAUCAAAUUUAAUUAACAAAUAAACAAAGAAAAGGAUCCAAAUGCAACCGACAUCCAGACUUAGGGUUUUAUCUGACAAAAUUCCAUGAGUUUUGGUGUUUGUCUAUUUCUGCAGGGGGUUAUCAGGAAAUACGGAAGAAAGGCCCACACGUCGGGUUUACAUAGAGAUAUUAACGUGCCACGCAAUUAUCUUACAUCUAAAAGAGUCCAGAAGCCACGGGAACGAAUGGGAGACCGGACGGGCUCGGGGGCAGGGUGCCCGCCCUCCCCCCUAGGGCACCCACCCUGGCCUUUCCACCAAUCACGGCCAAUCUCGCGGAUCAUGAUCCACCGACCUAAAGGAUCAAGGAUAAUCGUUCAAUCAAUGUCGGUUUGAUCCGACGGCCUAUUCACUUGGAAGGACUAUAUUACAAGACCCCCUGGCCCCUCGAGGAGAGCACCUCUCAACCCUAAUUCAUUAUUCAUCAGGGAGAAGAAGCCUCUGAUCAAGCCCUAGAGCCACCACAUCAAUUAGAUAUAUAGAUUAGCAUAGCUACAUAGGAUUAGAACUAGAAUGAGUUAAUCUUCGAUUGGUUUCCGGAUCUAUCAAGAGGAUUCUUGGUAAUUCUCUAUUGUUCUUCAAUUGUUCAUCUUUGUUCUUCAAUAUUAUGAAUAUGACUUUGUUCUACUUCAAUAUAUUGAUUAUGACUUUGCUCUACUUGUUUAUAUUCGCAAUUAUAUUAUUCUUAGCUUAUCAUAGUUAUAUACUUGGCUUAGUUAGAUUGGAAUUAUAUACAUGUUUAGAAUCGUAUAGCGUUUAUCCAUCGGAUCCAUGGGUAAAUGAUAGAUAUUGUGUAGGCGUGGUGCUUAUACCAUAUUUAUCUGCGAUUGUACCCUAUAUGCCAGAUCGCGGGGUAGUUCGUGGUAGUGACAGCUCCAUUGAUUCUUAUAUAGUCUCCCUCUCGUGUAUUGGGCUAGUAGAGCAACAUUAUUACAGGGGAGUGAUUGCGAUGUUUCUCAUAUUCCUUGAUAAUAUCACUAUGCAUGGGCGUAGUCCUGUCUCACAAUGAUUGCUAAGUAUAAUUGCACUAACUAUGAUAUGCUAGGUUGUAUAGUUAAGAAUAACUUAGGAAAUAUUCUUGUAGUUCAUCCUAAUUCCAUGCUAAUGACUUGCUAGAUUAUCUAAUUGAGGUGCUUAUCAUAUUUAUAUGUGGCUAAGUUAUGCUGAUCAGAUUAAUUAUCUUUGUCACCAUUCAUUACUUUAUAUAUCCUUUUUGUGACACUUAUCCCUGUAUGAAAGAGAUAGAUAAAUGCUCUCAAUUAUACAUGCAAUGAUUGAUACUCAAUCUUAUAUUCUAUUCUAUAAUCAACAUUGAUGAUUACUAAUCCCUUCCCAGUGGUAAAAAAAUAAAUAACGAUACCUGGAAUACUUCCCGGUUAAAAUGCUACAUCGGUAUUAAUCUGUGCGCUUGCAGAUCCCAUUUAUUAUUUAUUUAGUAGAGCAAUUGCAUAUUUCAAUACCGUGUCUUUCAUGUCAUGCUGGGGAUGACAACUUGGCUUAAGUGGCAUGGGAGAUAGGUUUGGCAUUUUUGGCGCCGUUAUCAGAAUUAGAAAACUAAGUCUAGUUUUGGUAGUGACGUUAAGAAUGCCCAACAAGCAUUUUUGGCGCCGUUGCCGAGGAAGGUUGAUUACUAAUCAGGAAUGAAUAUAGAAUUUUGAGUCAUCAUUCACAUCACUAAUAUGAUUGAGCUUAUCAAUUCUCUCAGACAGUUUUACCCUGAUAUUUCUCUAUUUUAUCUUAUGCAGGGUAAUGUAUGAAUAGAAGACAUCUUCUAGAAAAUUUUGUUGACAAUCCCGAAGCGUUAUUAGAAAAACAAGAGCCAAGCUCAAGAAGAGAUCAUCAACACUUCAGCAAGAAGUUUCAUCCAAUCAAGAAGAUCACCGAAGUUUCACCCAGAACUUGUCUUCAGAAUUCGAAGUCAUGGCGAACAAAUUGAUCCGCGAGUUCUCAGCUCCCACUACGGACAACAUCCAUACUGGACCUGCUGCAGAGAUCGAUGGCAACUUUGAGCUCAAGCCUGUACUUAUCAACAUGGUGCAAUCCAACCAGUUCUGUGGGAAGGCACACGAAGAUGCUAGUGCUCAUCUCCAACACUUCCUGGAGAUUUGCAAUGUUGGGUAUUCUUAACAUCAUUACCAAAAGUAGACUAAGUUCUCUAAAUCUAGUAACGGUGCCAAAAAUGCCAAACCUAUCCCUCAUACCACUUAAGCCAAGUUGUCAUCCCCAGCAUGAUAUAAGAGACGCGGUAUUGAAAUAUGCAAUUGCUCUUCUAAAUAAAUAAUGAAUGGGAUCUGCAAGCGCACAGAUUAAUACCGAUGCAGCAUUUUAACCGGGAAGUAUUCCAGGUAUAGUUAUUUAUAUUUUUACCACUGGGAAGGGAUUAGCAAUCAUCACUAUUGAUUACAGAAUAGAAUAUGAGAUUGAGCAUCUAUCAUUGCAUGUAUAAUUGAGAACAUUAUAUCUAACUCUUCAUACAGGGAUAAGUGUCACAUAAAAGAUAUAUGAAAUAAUAAUAGUGACAAGGAUAACUAAUCUGAUCUAGCCACAUAAUAAAUAUGAUAAGCACCUCAAUUAGAUACUCUAGAAAGUCAUUAGCAUGGUAUUAGAACGAACUACAAGAAUAUUCCCUAAGUUAUUCUCAACUAUAUAGUCUAGCAUUAUCAUAGUUAGUGCAAGCAUACAUAGCAAUCAUUGUGAGACAAGACUACGCCCAUGCAUAGUGAUAUUAGCAAGGAAUAUGAGAAACAUAGCAAUCACUCCCCUGUAAUAAUGUUGCUCUGCCAGCCCAAUACACGAGAGGGGGACUAUAUAAGAAUCAAUGAAGCUGUCACUAUCACGAACCACCCCACGAUCUGGCAUAUUGGGUACAAUCGCAGAUAAAUACGGUAUAAGCACCACGCCUACACAAUAUCUAUCAUUUAUCCAUGGAUCCGAUGGAUAAACGCUAUAUGAUCCUAAGCAUGUAUAUAGAUCGAAUCUAACUAAGCCAAGUACAUAACUAUGAUAAACUAAGAACAAUAUAAUCUUGAAUAUAAGCAAGUAGAGCAAAGUCAUAAGCAAUAUAUUGAAAUAGAACAAAGUCAUAUUCAUAAUAUUGAAGAACAAAGAUAAUUAGAAAGCAAUUAGAAGCACAAUUAGAGAAUUACCAAGAAUCCUCCUGACAGAUCCGGAAACCAAUCGAAGAUUGACUCCUUCUAGUUCUAAUCCUAUGUAGCUAUGCUAAUCUAGAUAUCUAAUUGAUGUGGUGGCUCUAAUCUUGAUCAGAGGCUUCUUCUCCCUUGAUGGAACAAUGAAUUUGGGUUGAGAGGCUCUCUCCUCCAGGGGCCAGGGGGUCUGAUUUUAUAGUCCCUCCAAGUGAAUACGGGCUGUUGGAUCAAACCGACAUAGAUUGUAUGGUUUAGAUUCAUCCAUUAGGUCAGUGGAGAUCUCCCGCGAAGCAGAGUCCUGAUUGGACUCCUGGAGAGGGCGGGCGCCCUGCCUCUGGCCCCGUUUCGCCUCCGCUUCGGUCUCGUGGCUUCUGGAGUCUUCUAGAUGUAAGAUAAUUGCGCAGCACGUUAAUAUCUCUAUGUAAUCCCGACGUGUGGGCCUUUCUUCCGUAUUUCCUGAUAACCCCAUGCAGAAAUAGACAAACACCAAAACUCGUGGAAUUCUAUCAUAUAAAACCCUAAGUCUAGAUGUUGAUUUCAUUUGGAUCCUUUUCUUUAUUUAUUUGAUAAUUAAAUUUGAUACUUAAGGACCGUCAACAAACUCCCCCAAGCUUACCUCUUGCUCGUCCCUGAGCAAGGAUAGACUCAGCUAUGGAUCAUAAGUUAUUGCAAUAUCUUUAAAAAUUGAUGGUACACAUGCUUUUAAAUAAGAUCUCAUCUCUAAGUUAGAGUAAACUGUCAAGACUUAAAACUUACUUACUUUACCUUCACCAUGGGACUUGUAACCGUCACUUCUAUCUUGAGUGGUUAAAAGAUAGAACAGUCUAGCCAAAUGCCAUGUCUCUUAUUCUUGAUCAGCUAUAGCUCUGGGGUUUUUGCAGUUUUUCAAAUAAAACUCAGAGAUUCCUUGUAUGACUCUCUCAGAUCUCUCUUUUGUGGUAUUUCUGGAUCCUUACCAAGGCAGUGAUGGUAUAUGCCUUCUCUCAAGAUAUGUAGUAUUUGUGGUAUAAAGCAUAGUGACAUUGCCUUCUCUCUCACCCUACACUAAUAAGGCUUUAAUAUCUGGAGCUCAUAGGUGGGAGAUAAAUUAUACAUACUUACAAGACAUUUAUUGCAUAGUCAAACCAUGGAUCCAAAGAAACAAAUCAAUAAGCCAAAUCAAGAUGUGCAUGUGUGGCGAAUGAAUGGUGUAUAGUGGUGAUGGUGAUAACAAUGGUGGAAACAAUGGUGGUGGUCUAAUUCUACUUUGCUCUUUGAGGGGAUACAUACCUUCCUUGCUUUUUGAAACUUUAUGAGGAGAAUGAGAUGCUCUUCUUUUUCUUUUCUCUCAGGUGGGUAUCUUGUACCCCUAAUUCUACUGUCGGACACUUGUCCAUUUUUACCCCUCGUCUCACUUUUUUUUUCUCUCGAGGUUCCGAGCACUUGCUCCUUUUUAUUUCCUCGUAUAUAUAUAUUUUUAUAUAUUUUUUUUCAGAGCAUUCAUCUCUUGAGAUAAUAUAGCAAGUGGUAGUAACAAGAUAACUUGAGCAUUUAUUUCACAAGGGAAAAACAGGAAUAUUUUUGGUUAUUCUCUCCCGGAUUAGGAGUAGAACAUUUUUAGGUGGUUCUGGAGAUGGAAAUGGAUGGAUAUAUGUGGAUGGUACUUCCGGAGUAGAAGUAGCAUAUAUGAGUGGAUGUGCAAGUGAAAUCUUGAUUUAACCACAUGACAAGCUCCUAAGGGUCUACACAGCUUGACCACACUCAAUGCUCAUAAGCAGUAAAUAAUAAAUGUGUGGCUCAAAGUCUAGCAAGCAUGUAUAUAUGGCUGUGGUAGGAAUUUAAACUCUCAUCAUACAGGAACUCAUCAUGCAACAUUUUAAAGAUUUUCAAAGAUAAAAUUCUCUAGAAUUCUAGCAUCUCUAGGAACAGAUAAACAACAGCUCAACCUUCUCAUAUUAUAUCCGUUAACAACUUAGACUUUAGAUCAAGUUUUCAUUCCACAAGUUUAGGUCUAGAGCAAGCUUUAAAUUAUAACAGUUAUGUCUAAACUUGAGAGUGAACUUAAAAUGUGCAAAUUAGGCAGAGCAACUAUUCAUCAUAUCCAUGCUUAAGUUUUAUUUAGAUACAGAUUAGCAUAGCCACUUUAUUUAUUUAUUAAACACACUAGGCAAAAGACAAAUAUAUAUAUAAGCAGAAAAUCUUUAUUUAUUUUUUCAUAGUUUAUGUAUUUUAAUAUAAGUAUAAAGAUAGAUAGAUAGAAAUACUUAUCGAGAUAAAUGGGGGUGCUCUCCCCCAAGCUGAAUUUUGACGUAAUUUCUUUUUGUCACACCCAAUUUUAAGGAUAAAAUUGAAUGCAAAACCUUAUGUGUGCCCAGAGAUCAAUCACACAUAAGCCGACAAAUUAUAGGGAGUAUCAUCACAAGUGUUUAUUACAUAACGAUAUAACUCAGAGUCUUUACACAAAUAUAGCGGGAAAUAAAAGAUAACUCUUGCAUGGAAGCUCCAUCUCACAGGCACGUCAACUGGUUGACCACAAGUCUAGAAUUCCUCAGGAAAGUACUGGUAGUAGUCAUUACCCAUGCCAUCUGUUACCCAUCCGGGAUUUUUAUCCAAAUAAAGAAAAUAAACAAGUGUAAGUACAUCUCGUACUUAACAAGUAUAACAGGGGGUUCAUGAGGCUCAAAGGCUAGACACUGGUUCAACUGCAUGUAGCUUUUAGUUGUCACAAUUUUAGCAUAAGAGUAGCAUCAAGUUGUCAAGACCCAUAGUAAACUCAUGAUCAGGUAAAGUGAAUAAAGAAUAGCAUGAACAGCAUAUUAACAAUAAUAACAUUUAAUGAAUUGCCAUUAGGUUCAUUUAUUCUGUAUUGGUCCAAGGCCGCUCGUGACCGUGAGCACGGCUCAUAUAUCAGUUUUACACUCUGCAGAGGUUGUACACUUUCACUGUGAGUCGUGAUUUACCCUUUCGCCCGAGGUGAUCAGCCCCUUAGCCCACUCCCAAGGAAGACCGGCAGGGUUCACUAUGAAGCCUUUCAAAGGUUCGUCUAACAAGUUAGGGCCGCUAGGUUUCGUUAGUCAGUCCGUGUGACUCACCCGCAGGAAUCCACGGUCUGCUAUCCCCCACUUGCGCCACAAGGGUUACCACUAACAAGCUAGAAAAGGUCCUCAUACUGAGGUAAAGCCAGAGCCAUAUAGCCCUCACAGUUGUACUGUAUGUCCCGGAUGGUCAGAUACAGAUAAGUCCUUAUGGAGAGAAACUAGAGCACCAUAAGAUAUCCCAAUGCUCCAGCCCUCUUUGCCAAAGUUGCUAAAAAGUCAUCUUUUAAUGUUUAUUGCAUAAUUCUUUAGUCAAGUUACAAGAUCAUGGUUUAGUGGAGCACUAGCAUAAGCUACCCAAUGCAAAACCAUAGGUGACAAGGUAUAAGAUCAAUACUAGGAAAUCCUUAUCAAGGAGACACAUGCAAUAUGAAUUGUGUGAUUAAAGUUAUUAGGAAACAAGGAUGAUCCCAUGCUAUACUUGCCUUGAUCACACUGGUCCUGCUGAUCCUGCUCGUAGAAGUACUCUUGUUCACCCCCGAACUGCUCACCGUCUACUCGCAACCACCACAUCAACAACAAUCAUCCAAAGGCAAUCAUGCAAAGCAAACAAGCCUAUUAUUAGAACAGUACACCAACAGUAAUAAAUAAAGAUAAAAAGUUUAUAAAACGAAUCUACAUCGCUCUACGAUCACACAGACGUAAAGAUCACGAAAAUCGGAGUUAUAACGAAGAAGUUAUGAUUUUCCGAAGAUUUACUUUAAAUAAAUAAUAGAUUAAAUCUAAACUCAGAUUUAAAAAGUUGAAAACUUGCACUACAGUAGCAUUAGACUAUAGACUACGCGAAAAUGAAUCUAACGCAACUUGAACGGAUUAAAUCGGAGUUAAAACGAAGUUUUUAUGAGCAAAAUAGACUUGAUGCCAAAACUGUAAAUCUGAGAAACUUCUUUUUGAACUGCACGGCUGAAAUACGUUUUCCAACUUGGAAAGCAUAAAGGGUGAAAGCGCAAAGGACCGCGGGUUACAUCUUUAAAAACUCGGGGGGGGUUUCUGCAAAUUUGGCGGCCGAAGGGGUAUCCUUCGUUUCUGGCCGUUGGAUCUCAAUUCGAUGGCCAGGAUUAGAUCGGGGUGGGGGAAGGAGGCUGGCCGGCUGGAGAUGAACAGGACGCGGCGGCUCCAUGGCCGACGUCGGCCGGAGUUGGCCAUGCCGGGGCUAGAAAGCAGUAGAGCGCGAGAUAAAAACACCGGCGUGCUCGGGAACUCAAAGCGAACUCACCUAAACACGAACCCGCAACGAAACGAGGCCGGCUGGGGCGUGCGACGGCGAUUGGCGGACGGCGACCCUGCAUGAUAGUUCGGCGAGGCUUAGAGAAGCACAGAGAGCUCGAAAGAACAAAAAGAGAACUUCGGCGACUUCGCAAACCGAAGCCGAAGCUCGGCAAGCUGCUCGCGCGGCUCGGGACGCACUGCAGCGGCGGAUUGAAGAUGCGGCGGAUCUUGGCGGCGGCUUCCGGCGAGUUUGACGCGACGGCUGCGGCUCGGGACAGCUUGGGGGGGUUGCGGGGCUUCGGGCGGUAUUUAAAGGGCGGAGAACGGGCGGAAUCGGAACUGCUCCGCGCGAAACACGCGCGCAGUUGAGGUGCGGCUCGUGUCCGGCUCGGACACGAGGUUGAAGACGAGCCUGACAGGGCGGUCCCACCUGGCAGUGGCGCUGGAGCGCGGGACCCGGCCGUCAGCUGCUGAGGCGAAGGGGAGAGGCGCUGGCUGACCACCUGGGCCGCGAGAUGGGCCGACCUGGUGCUGGGCCGAAACAAGAAGAAAGGGAAAGGGUGGAAAGAAAUGCGGGCCGCGGGGAAGAAAGGGUUGGGCCAAGCCCGAGGCAGGGGGAAAAUAAAGAGAAACCUUUUCCAUUUUCUAAAUUUUAAGUCUUGCUCAAAUAUUUUGAAAAGAAAAGCAAAACCAAUUUGAAAAGAAAACUUCACUCAACAAAAUACAUGCAGCAGCAUGAAUGCACAUACAUGUUUCUAGAUCCUAUAGUGAAUUUUAUUUCAAAAAUUAUUUUCGUACUAUUCUUUAGUGCUCACAUCAAAAGAUUAAUUCAAUUAGCCUAUUUGAAAAAAAAGAAAUUUUUAGGGUGUUACAAUUCUACCCCCCUUAAGAUGAAUCUCGUCCUCGAGAUUCGGUUGGUGCUUACUCAAACAACUGAGGAUAUGAUUUUCUUAGAUCUUCUUCUCUUUCCCACGUAGCCUCUUCCUCGGUAUACCUAUUCCACUGCACUCUGCACAUUCUGAUAACCCGACUCCUGGUGACUCUUUCUGCUGUUUCCAAAAUUCGGACCGGAUAUUCUUCAUAAGUAAGAUCACCUUUAACAGUUAAUUCCUCUAUCGGUAUCUGGUCUUCUGGCACUCGCAAGCACUUCUUAAGCUGUGACACGUGGAAGACAUCAUGCACUCCUUUUAAACUCUCAGGCAGUUCCAACUGGUAUGCCACUUCACCUCGCCUUUCCAACACUCUGAAAGGCCCAAUGUACCUUGGUGCUAACUUCCCUUUCAUGUUAAACCUUCUCACACUUCGCAUAGGAGACACCUUCAAAUACACAUAGUCUCCUACUUCAAAAGCCAACUCUCUUCUUCGUGUAUCAGCAUAACUCUUCUGCCGAGACUGUGCUGCUCUCAAGUUCUCCCGAAUUAUUCUCACUUGCUGUUCUGCAUCCCGUAACACAUCUGGUCCAAACACUUGUGUUUCUCCCGCUUGAUUCCAAAACAACGGGGUUCUACACUUCCGACCAUACAAGGCUUCAAAUGGUGCCAUCUGGAGACUUUUCUGAUAACUGUUGUUGUAUGAAAACUCUGCAUAUGGCAAACUCUUAUCCCAACUCGUCCCAUACUGCAAAGCACAUGCCCUCAGCAUAUCUUCCAAAAUUUGAUUAGUCCUUUCAGUCUGCCCAUCAGUCUGAGGAUGAUAUGCUGUACUAAAAUUCAGCUUAGUCCCCAGAGACUCAUGCACUUUCUGCCAAAAGUGAGAUGUAAACUGGGUACCUCGAUCAGAUACUAUCUUCCUGGGAACCCCAUGCAAACACACUAUUCUUUCCAUGUACAACUCAGCCAAUUUUGGUCCACUAUAUUUGGUCUUGACCGGGAUAAAAAGAGCGACCUUUGUUAACCGAUCCACUAUUACCCAUAUAGAGUCAUAACCUUUCUGAGUGCGGGGUAAUCCCACUAUGAAAUCCAUACCAACUUCCUCCCACAUCCACUCAGGGAUCUUCAUUGGUUGCAACAAUCCUGCCGGUCUCUGAUGUUCUGCUUUGACCCUCUGGCAAGUAUCACAUAAAGCGACAUACUCCGCAACAUCUCUUUUCAGGCCAUACCACCAAUACUUCUCUUUUAGGUCUAGGUACAUCUUAGUGCUGCCAGGGUGUAUAGAAUAAGCGGACUCGUGUGCCUCCCGCAGAAUUGCCUCUCUAAUAGACCGAUCCUCCGGCACACAUAGCCUUUUCCCAAACCAUAGUGUCCCAUUAUCAUCCAUUCGGAAACCUGGUGCCUUUCCGAUCACUAUGUUUUCAGCUAUCUCCUUCAGCUUUUCAUCCUGUAACUGACCCUUUCGUAUUUCUUGCUCCAAGGUAGGUUCUAUUACUAACUCAACUGCAUUAAUAACAAAACCCAAGUUCAAAUGUGAAAUUUCAGCACACAACUCCUCAGCCAUAGAGGCUAUUUGCACCUCGUUGGCAUAGCUCUUCCUGCUUAGGGCGUCUGCAACUACAUUUGCUUUACCCGGGUGGUAGUGUACCUCUAAAUCAUAAUCCUUGAUCAGUUCUAACCACCGACGUUGCCUCAAAUUCAGAUCCGACUGUGUGAAUAUAUACUUCAAACUCUUAUGGUCCGUGUAUAUGUCACUCUUAUGACCAAUAAGAUAGUGUCUCCAGAUCUUCAGGGCAUGAACCACUGCGGCUAACUCCAAGUCAUGAGUAGGAUAAUUUAACUCAUGCUUCCUCAACUGUCGGGAUGCAUAUGCCACUACUCUUCCUUCUUGCAUAAGAACACACCCAAGUCCUAGACGGGAUGCAUCACAAUAUAUGGAGAAAUUCUUGCUUAGAUCUGGCAGUACUAACACUGGAGCUGUAGUCAACCGCUUCUUCAACUCCUCGAAAUUUUCUUGACACUUGUCAGACCACACAAACUUGGCAUUUUUCUCAAGCAGAGCUGUCAUUGGUUUGGCAAGCUUGGAGAAUCCAUCAAUGAACCUUCGGUAAUAACCAGCCAAUCCCAAGAAACUGCGGAUUCCACUCACAUCUGUAGGUGGUUUCCAAUCGAGCACAUCCUUCACCUUGCUUGGAUCCACCGCUAUUCCUCCAUUAGAGACAACAUGGCCUAGAAAGGAAAUUUCCUUCAACCAAAACUCACACUUACUUCGUUUAGCAUAUAACUUGUGUUCCCGAAGCUUCUGCAAGACUAACCUCAGAUGCUCAGCGUGCUCUCGCUCAGUCUUGGAGAAUACCAAUAUGUCAUCAAUAAAUACCACCACAAACUUGUCAAGAAACUCCAUGAACACCUUAUUCAUCAGGUACAUAAAGUAAGCAGGAGCAUUGGUCAGACCGAAGGACAUCACUGUGUACUCAUACAAACCAUACCGGGUCGUGAAUGCUGUCUUUGGUAUAUCAGUGGCACGAAUCUUCAGCUGAUGGUACCCAGAACGAAGAUCGAUCUUAGAAAACACACAAGCACCUCUCAACUGAUCAAACAAAUCAUCAAUUCUAGGCAAUGGAUAUUUAUUCUUGAUUGUGACCUCAUUGAGUGACCGGUAAUCUACACACAUCCUCUGUGUACCAUCUUUCUUAUCGACAAAAAAUCACUGGUGCCCCCCAAGGUGAAGAGCUAGGACGAAUGAACCCUUUUUCCUGCAACUCCUUUAUUUGUUUCUUAAGUUCUUCCAAUUCCUUAACCCCCAUUCUAUAUGGACGUUUAGCUAUAGGUGCAGUGCCAGGUAAUAAUUCAAUAAUAAACUCAAUGUCACGGUCGGGUGGCAUACCUGGCAAAUCAUCGGGGAACACGUCGGGAAACUCAUCAACAACCAGGCCCUCCUGAUUGACACUGUUAUCAAGCUGGUUCACUGUAGCUGUUGGCUGAGGCUGAACUGCAACUUCCACACAGAUUCUGUCCCCUUUUGGUGUUGUUAGUGCAACUGCCUUUCCUUUACACUGAAUUGAUGCAUCUUGUUGUUUCAUCCAAUCCAUUCCCAGAAUCACAUCUAUACCAGAUGCUCUCAACACAAUUGGACUUAUCUUGAACUCUACCCCCCUUAGGUUUAAAGUAAGUGGGAGGCAACUAUAAGCAGCUUGCAUACUUCCCCCCGGUGAAUUUACUAAUAUGGGAUUCUUCAUGGCACAUAAGGGUAAGCUAUGUAUUCUAACAAAUGCUUGUGAUAUGAAAGUAUGCGAAGCUCCAGAAUCAAAAAGAACAGAUGCGGGGAUAGAGUUGACUUCGAACGUACCAAGCAUAACUUCCGGUUCCUGCUGUGCUGUCUCAGAGGACAUAUGGUUCACCCUUCUAGUGUUGGGAGCUGACUUCUGGUUGCUAUUUUGCUUCUGGGGGGUGUGCUGAUUUUGCUUUUCCGAGCAAUGAUAUGACAGGUGACCCUCUUUACCACAGCGGAAACACUUGUUGGGGGUGUUAGGGGCACUAGUCUUCAUCGGAGUGUUACUGGGCGUACCCUGGCGUGACGUCUGCUGAUUGCCUUGCUGCUGAUUCUGCUGAUACUGCGGGCGCUGCUGGAACUGAUUGCGCUGGGGGUACUGACCACGAUUCCACUGUGAAGGUGGUCCUUGGUACCUUUGCUGAGAACCUUGCUGCUGGUUGGUGCGUGGACGAGUAUUACUUCCGGAGGCCUGUCCCUGCAUCCUCUUCCUUUUAGCAUCCAUCUCCUUACGCUUGUUAUCCACCACGAUAGCACGGUUCACAAGUGUCUGAUAAUUGGGGUAUUCAUUGGACAUCAGCUGGAGUUGGAGCCCAUCAUACAAACCCUUCAAAAAGAGGCGUUAUUUAUCAGCAUCAUUAGCCACCUCACUGGGAGCAUAGCGCGACAACUGAGCAAACUUGUCCCUAUACUCCGGAACUGUCAUAGAACCCUGCUUCAAAUUCCGGAACUCCUCAGCCUUCAGUUCUAUUAACCCUUCAGGUAUGUGAUAGGACCUAAAGUUCUCCUUGAACUCCAGCCAUGUGAUAGCAGGUGCAUUGGGAGGUCGUCCAUACUCAAACGACUCCCACCAUGUCUGAGCUUCUCCCUGGAGUUGUCCAGAUGCGAACAACACCUUCUGCCUAUCAUCACACUAUGCUAUGUUGAGUUGCUUCUCCACUGCUCGAAGCCAGUCAUCUGCCUCCAGUGGGUCAGUAGCAUGUGUGAACACAGGGGGAUGACCUUUCAAAAAUUCACCCCGCUUAUCACGCGGUGGUGCUCCUCCGAUUGGGUGAUUCUGUUGGUUGUUCACCAGGGCUUCCAUAAGCUACGUCUGGACUGCUAGUAGCUGUUCAAUGGUGGCGGGUGGGUUGAGUGGGACACCCCUUCCACGUCCUCUACCUCUUGGUGGCAUCUGUCAUAACAUUAAAACUUUAGAAACUCCCAAAAUAUGGACUUUCAAGUGCAAGUUUGCAAUUCUGAAAACUUCUGUGUGAGUCCAGUGCCAGCAGUUCAGUAAAACGAUCAUAACUUGUGAUAUAAAAGUCCAACAGAGACGAAACUUGAUGGUUGGAAAGCUUAAGAAAUUGUCUACAACUUUUAUUUAGAACACAAAUCCAGAUUCGGACGUUAAAUUAGCCAUAAACUGUCUCCAAUCGAAACUGUCCCAGAACUCAAACUGCACAGGAACCUCUGUUUUCAACUUUCAUAAAUCUUGGCUCAGAUCAGAUAAAAAGGUGAUUCCAGCGGCAUAGGAAAGAUGCUUAAGUCUAGUUAUUCUCAUAAAAUUUUCAUAAUUUUUGGUCGAACUGAUUUUUCUGGGUAAAAUUAUUAAGACAGAUAGGUUUAAAGAACGAAAACAGGAAAGGCAGAUAUACCAACCCAACUAUUUAUUCAUUAAACCUUAAUCCUUAAGAGCCUAAACCAUGGAACUUGUAGACAUGCCUACAAUGUCCCCAGCACUCAUUACAAAGAUCCAACCCACUCAUAAACAUAAUAACAAGCAACUAAGCAUAACAAAAGCACACCACACUAACAUGACUCAACUCACUAGCGCUACUAGCGGCUUAAAAUAGGGACCUCCAACACUAAGGGCGUGGUUCAUAGUCAAGCUUUCCAUAGAUCUUGGGCUGUCCUUCCCUCUCACGAUGCUCGUCAAUCAUCUUGUAGCACCUCUUGAGAGCCUUCCCUUGUGCUAUCACCAUGUCUUGCAAUUUCAAAUGCUUUUCCACCAUCUCAUGAGCGAAGUACACCAUCACUCGGGAGACUGGGUCCAAAUCUGUUGGCUCCAGCAUUCCCCAUCCUUGUUCCGGGUCCAGGCGGGGUAGAUAACGGUGUAUGUCCCACCUCAUGUUACCGAAACGCUGCUCACGGAGGAACAAACAUGCUGUGAAAGCUGCUUCCUCCAUGCUCUCUUCCAUAGUAGCUCUAUGUCCAUCAUGACGGUAGCCCCUGUCCUUCAAGUAGGCAUCUUUCUCCACAUCUUUGGGAAAGAUCAGCACCUUGGACUUCCAAUAGGUGUUCUCCAGGCGGUGCGUGUACUCGAUGCAGGAAUACUCCACUACUGCAUCCCAGUCAGAGAAAUAAUUCUCCAACAUUCCCACCAGUCGGUGAUGCGAUGGAGAGUUGCACGAAGCCUUGUGAUACACCUUCCUAGUCCACCCUAUGGGAGGGGACUCAUCAUCUUCAGCAGGUCCAUCUUGUGGCGGUGAUGGGGGUUGACCUCCUCCGGGGGCACCUUCUCCUUCAUCAUCGGAAAUAAGUAUGAACUCCUAGGGCUCCUCCUCUGGUUCAGACUCCACUUGCGAUAGCUCUGGCCCAGAUGCUUGCUCUGAAGGUGGUGGGGUCUCCUCACGCUCCGGUGAACUCUCCUCUUGUGGCUCCAUAGGCUCGUAUUGGUAACGAGGUGGAUGGUACCCUCCAGUGGAGAUACGGGCGGUCUUGUUGGCACGAACCAUCUAUAGAAUGGACCGGAGAGAAGUUAGAUUAGAAUCAAUAAUUUCAUAAUAGGAUAAGAUGAUAGAAGCAUAAAGUUUUUAGAAAAUAACAAGAGCAAGAUGGUAAGCAUGAAUGUAGAGAAGAAAAGACUACUAAGACGACCGUUUCUAUAUAGGCUUGCGUCCUAGAGUCAAUACGGGUCUGAUACCAAUUUGUCACACCCAAUUUUAAGGAUAAAAUUGAAUGCAAAACCUUAUGUGUGCCCAGAGAUCAAUCACACAUAAGCCGACAAAUUAUAGGGAGUAUCAUCACAAGUGUUUAUUACAUAACGAUAUAACUCAGAGUCUUUACACAAAUAUAGCGGGAAAUAAAAGAUAACUCUUGCAUGGAAGCUCCAUCUCACAGGCACGUCAACUGGUUGACCACAAGUCUAGAAUUCCUCAGGGAAGUACUGGUAGUAGUCAUUACCCAUGCCAUCUGUUACCCAUCCGGGAUUUUUAUCCAAAUAAAGAAAAUAAACAAGUGUAAGUACAUCUCGUACUUAACAAGUAUAACAGGGGGUUCAUGAGGCUCAAAGGCUAGACACUGGUUCAACUGCAUGUAGCUUUUAGUUGUCACAAUUUUAGCAUAAGAGUAGCAUCAAGUUGUCAAGACCCAUAGUAAACUCAUGAUCAGGUAAAGUGAAUAAAGAAUAGCAUAAACAGCAUAUUAACAAUAAUAACAUUUAAUGAAUUGCCAUUAGGUUCAUUUAUUCUGUAUUGGUCCAAGGCCGCUCGUGACCGUGAGCACGGCUGAUAUAUCAGUUUUACACUCUGCAGAGGUUGUACACUUUCACUGUGAGUCGUGAUUUACCCUUUCGCCCGAGGUGAUCAGCCCCUUAGCCCACUCCCAAGGAAGACCGGCAGGGUUCACUAUGAAGCCUUUCAAAGGUUCGUCUAACAAGUUAGGGCCGCUAGGUUUCGUUAGUCAGUCCGUGUGACUCACCCGCAGGAAUCCACGGUCUGCUAUCCCCCACUUGCGCCACAAGGGUAACCACUAACAAGCUAGAAAAGGUCCUCAUACUGAGCUAAAGCCAGAGCCAUAUAGCCCUCACAGUUGUACUGUAUGUCCCGGUUGGUCAGAUACAGAUAAGUCCUUAUGGAGAGAAACUAGAGCACCAUAAGAUAUCCCAAUGCUCCAGCCCUCUUUGCCAAAGUUGCUAAAAAGUCAUCUUUUAAUGUUUAUUGCAUAAUUCUUUAGUCAAGUUACAAGAUCAUGGUUUAGUGGAGCACUAGCAUAAGCUACCCAAUGCAAAACCAUAGGUGACAAGGUAUAAGAUCAAUACUAGGAAAUCCUUAUCAAGGAGACACAUGCAAUAUGAAUUGUGUGAUUCAAGUUAUUAGGAAACAAGGAUGAUCCCAUGCUAUACCUGGGCCGCGAGAUGGGCCGACCUAGUGCUGGGCCGAAACAAGAAGAAAGGGAAAGGGUGGAAAGAAAUGCGGGCCGCGGGGAAGAAAGGGUUGGGCCAAGCCCGAGGCAGGGGGAAAAUAAAGAGAAACCUUUUCCAUUUUCUAAAUUUUAAGUCUUGCUCAAAUAUUUUGAAAAGAAAAGCAAAACCAAUUUGAAAAGAAAACUUCACUCAACAAAAUACAUGCAGCAGCAUGAAUGCACAUACAUGUUUCUAGAUCCUAUAGUGAAUUUUAUUUCAAAAAUUAUUUUCUUACUAUUCUUUAGUGCUCACAUCAAAAGAUUAAUUCAAUUAGCCUAUUUGAAAAAAAAGAAAUUUUUAGGGUGUUACACUUUUGAUGUAGCUAGCAAGCGGCGGUCUUCACCGCCGUGUGUGAGGGCUACUUGGGGAUGAUGCCGCACUAGGAGCUAUGGCUCCACCUCUACAGGGGCGAGCUUUUCCACGCCCCCACCGGAACCACGGGCGUAAGGAAGCCCGUGCGGGUGGGAUGCCUCAAUCUGGUGCAGAAGAUGGGGAAGACAGACAGGCCGCGGGAGUACAUCCCGGUAGGGUUAUCGACCAACCACGCCGGCUGGGACUCCCAGUGGUUUUACCUGCGGAACGACGACAACCUCCUGCCUUCCUACUCGGGCCGUCUGAUCAUGGAGCGUCCAGCGGACUGGACAUACGGCGUCGUCCAAGCUCAUCAAUCUCGGCUCGACCCCCUCCUCGACGCCCUGAAGAAGCUUCGCCAGGAGGGUUUGACCGCCGCUCUCUUCCUCUCGGCCGUCCAUCAUCGGAGAGUUCUCCCAUUGAUGUCUCGACCGUUGAGGAUGGACGAGAUGGGCCCUGGCGUCUCAUCUCGGGACCUCGAGGCGUGUCGGAUGUCCAACGAGGCUCCGGCGGACGACGAAGUCGCGGCCCGAGUCAGGGCUGCAAUUGCCGGUGAUUUUCAGCCGGAGCAUGUUAACGGCUUCCCCAUGAGACCAGAUGCAGGCUUGAUCGAUCUGGUACGCUUUCUUCUUGCGCGUAGCCUCGAUUCUGGGUUUCCUUUCUCCCCUUUCUUUUUUCUAAGUCAACCUUUGUUUUGGCAGGGUCGGAUUGAUGUCCGGUCCUCGAGGCCUCCGGUAAAGGAGGACGAGGUCGAUCGCGACAAACGGCGCCAAUCUGCCGAGAAGCUAAAGUCCGCCAAGGACUCUGCAAAGAAGGGGGAGAAGAAGAAGAACCUCGACUGCCAAGCAUUAGAGGCGCGUCGAGCCAAAUCCAGGCAGAGGGGGGAGCCUGAGGAAGAAUCCCCCAACAACGACGACGAUGACGAUGAGGGCAGGGAUGACUCUGAGGGGAUGCCGUCGCACCUCGACCGAAUCCUCGAGGGUCCGCCUCGAGGCGAUGUCGACGCCCCCCGGAUGGAGACUCCAAAAGAGGGUCCGAGCGGAUCUCACCGCCCUCGGUCCGACACCCCUCCUGCGCCCAAGGCCGGUCAAGUCGCGCCGCGCCCUCCCCCGGCGCCUAGGGAGAGCGGUCAUGCUAGGCCCCAGGUGACGGGGCCAUUGACUCGCGGUCGCGCCACGGCCUCCGAGAAAGGAGAGGCCGGCCGCAGGAGUGCCAGUCCUGGCGCCCGCCAAGCGGAAACUGACGCGCCUAGGCCCACGCCUGCCCUCGAGGGACCUGGAGUCCUAUCGCGGGGUGGCUCGAGGCCCGCCGGUCGGGGCGGCGGGAGGCGAGCUGUUCUCCCUGUGGGGUAAGCCUUUUCGAUGUUGUGGCUUUUGUCUUCCUGCUCCUCUGCGUUUCCUCAUAUGCCGAUCUUUUCUCAGGCUAAAGCGGACCCUCGAGCAAGCCCAGCCGUCUAUGGCAAAGAGGCUCAAAACGGGAGCCGCCCCCAAGGAACGAGGUUCGUAGUUUAUUUCUGGGCCUUGUAAUGUUCUUGUGUCGGUCACUAUAGCGUCUGACCUUUACCCUAUGCCUUGUAGGCUCCUCCGACUCCCAGCCCCCAGCCGGCGCUGAGAGUGCUCCGCCUCGUUCCGUGCCUACCCUGUCGCUGCCGACGUGUGGCGAGGCGCCCCAGACGCAAGUGCCGGAGGGAGCCCCCGAGCCUCCUCAAUUGGGGGUCGAGGGGGAACCCAUCACCAUCAGUAAUACGUCUGAUGGUAACGAAACGCCUGGAGGCGCCCGCCCUAUGGAGGAGGAAGCGUCGACCUCUCACGUCGCUGGACCGACUCCCUGGCCCGCCGGUCUCUGCGCCCUCGAGGAGUAGAAGAAGAAGAGGGAGGAAGACGAAGAGCUGGAGCGUGAGGCGGCACGGCAGCCACAGGAGCAGGGCCGCGGGCAAGAGCCGCAGGAGCAUGAGGCGCAACGGCAGCAGCAACAGCAACACCAGGGGGGCCAAGAGGAGGGACUGCUCGAGCCCCCGCCCCAAGGUCCGGCCCAGCCAGUACCGCCGGAGCCGCAAGGGCCUGGCGAGCAAGAAGAGGAUCUACCGGUGUACGGCCCCCCGACCCCAGCGUGGCUCCUCCCGGGGGCACCUGCCGCGAUCCGGGCAGAGCCGGGGCGAGCGGAUGGAGUGGUGGCGCUCGCCUGCAUGAUGCGCACCCCCACCGACCCUGAGUUCGAGAUCAAGCGGACGAUCUAUGGCAUGGACGGGAUCGCCCUAGGGUUCCUCCGGGAGCGUCGGGCAUGAGAGGACCGCUUUCCCUCCGAGGAGGAUGAAAUCGGGACGUCGGGGACCAAGGACGGUACCUGGAAGACGGUGGACGACGACGGGCGGUUUCCCAUGCCUCGUCGACCUGUUCCUGCGCCAUGGGGGCUCCCUCAAGACCGUCGAGGACCUCAUCUGCGGCGUCAAGGCACGGGCCGACCGGGAGAUGGAGCACUGGUGCCCUGAUCGGAUCCGCAUCCGGGCCUCCCACGACCCGUCCGAGCCGAACAUCUUCCUGGACGACCGGAAGGAGGCGGAAAAGUGGGAACACGUCGAGGAGCUCCGCCUUUGGAUGAAGCAUGUGGUGGGGCUCCUCGCAGACGUUAUCAACAACGGGCUCGGGCCGGCUUAUUUCGUAAGUUUCUUUUCGAUCUUCUAUCCUCAUGGAGACUUUCGGUUUUGUGCUCUAACCGUUCGAUCCUUGGUUCGCAGGAUAUGAAAGAGACCUCCCGCAUCAAGUCUAGUUUCAUUCAUGCCACGAGAGGUGGCUGGGAGCAGCUCCCCCUCCUUAAGGAUCAACUCCUCGAGUCGCAGGAGAAGCUCCUUCAGACCUACAAAGACCUCAUAGCGCUCGGGGAGGAGAAGAAAGCGAGUGAGGCUGCCUUGGUCGAGGCUCGAGAGGCCUCAAGGAGGGCGGAGGAGGAGACGAUGAUGCUGCAGGAGCGGGCUCUUACGGUCGAGGAGGCCGCGUCCAAAGCCCGGGAGGAGGCCCUGUCCUACAAGAGCGUCAUUGCAGACCUGGACAAGGAGAAGGGCCUUCUCAAGACCGACCUGGACUCCCUCCGCGACUCCUUCCAGAAGAUGAAGGUGGCGUACGUGGACAGUGAGGUCGCCAGGGGUGCCGCCGAGGAUGUAAAGAAGAAGACCCUCGAAGACCUCGAGGCGGAGCGGGCUCCAUCCUGCAGUCUCUCUGACGACGUCGAGCGUCUGAAGGGAGAAUUGCUGGAGGAGAGUGGAGCCAUUGCUCAGGCUGGCAAGGUGAUCGAAGUCCUCCGCGUUGCCAAUACUGAGCUGGUGCGUUCCAACAGAGAGAUCGAGUGUACCAACACCAGAUUGGUCGGCGAGAACACGGCCCUAGAGGAGAGCAUCAGAGGUAUGUUUCCUUUGUCGAAUUUCUUUUUUGAGGUGUGCUUGAGUUUUUCCUAAAGCUUCCUUGUAUUGGCAUUUACAGGGCUCAAGGACGAACUCCUAGCCGCCCAGGCCGAGGCCUGUAAUGCUAAGGCCCAGCUCGAGGCGGAGGUUGCUUUGAACCGUCGAGUGCGGACAGCGAUAAGCGACCUCUCGACCUCGUGGGAGGUCGAGCCUAUGGACGAGUCGAGGGAGGGAGCUCAAGGCGAUGCACUGGUCGACCAGCUGUGCUACUUGGGCGUGACGCUUAGGGACCGAGUGCGGGACGCCCUCCACAUCGGGGUGAAGCGGGCGAUGGCAGUUGUCUGCUCGGGCUUCUCAUAUGACAUGGAGGUGGUGUCCCACGGCUUCGUCACCGAUAUCUCCAAGACCGACGCGGAGAACGAGGAGAGGCUCCACGCCUUGAUCGACGACGCGUAGGCUCCUGGGGAAAGGUUGGCUAAGCUUUUUGAGCCUAAGGUGCUCCCUCCUGAGACUAGCUCGGGCGGAGGCGAGGGCGGUGAGGAUCGUGCCGCGGACUGAGGCCUGUGAGCCUGUUCAGGGCGCCUGGGGCCCCUUGUAUGAUACUCUGUAAAUUCUGUCGCUAAGUGAUACUGUAUCUUUUUGUAAUUGUUAAAUGCUUAUUUGUCUUUCCGCUCGAGGUUCUUUUAUUUGUCUUUCCGCUAAGUGAUACAGCAUACUUUGUUAAUUCUGUUCCUACGUUUGUAUCCCCUGCUCGAUCUUUCGUCAGAAACAAACUCGAUCACCUCAAUGGUGAGGAAGUGAGUAGAGUUUCUGUGGCCCGGGGGCGUAGGAGUUCUCCGGCUCAUUGUCCCUCGGCCUUUGAGGGGCUCGAGGCGCCUCCACUACUCGAGCCGUGCAAGGUUUACUAAAUAAGAAAAGAAAAUUUCUUGGCUUUUUCGAUGCUUGGGGGGGGUCGUCCCCCUGGUAGCCCCCGAGGGGGUGUUGACUAUGAUGGGUCAUAGUCGGCAUCCCCUUCUAACGUCGAGAUUAUGACUUGUAAAUCUUUUGGCGCAAAAAGAAGUUGCUCGAGGGAAAGACUUUAUUUAUUCAUUCAUUCGUUUACAAAGUCUUGGUACAAAAUGUACGUAGGAACAUAAGUUUAGAACUUCUAAGGGUAGAAUCGACGUAGCUGUUCGAUGUUCCAUGCGUUGGUGAAGACUGCCCCCUUCUCGUCCGCCAACUUGUACGUUCCCGGCUUCAGGACCUUGGCCACCACAUACGGGCCUUCCCAAGGUGGAGUCAGCUUGUGGCGUCCUUGAUUGCUUUGCCGGCGUCGUAGGACAAGGUCACCCACGUUGAGGUCCCUCUUGCGCACGUGCUUGUCGUGGUAGAGUCGAAGUUUCUGCUGAUAUCUGGCGGAGUUGAGGAGGGCCAUGUCUCGAGCCUCCUCGAGUUGGUCGACCACGUUUUCUUGAGUCUCCUUAUUGGAUUGCUCAUUGUACGCCUUGAGUCGAGGUGACCCAUACUCGAGGUCUGUGGGGAGAACAGCCUCGGAGCCAUAGACCAUGAAGAAUGGGGUGUACUUUGUGGCCCUAAUUGGUGUUGUCCUUAGACUCCAUAGAACCGAGGAAAGCUCCUCGACCCAUUUCUUGCCGAAUUUCUUCAAACGAUUGUAGAUCCUUGACUUAAGUCCUUGCAAAAUCAUGCCGUUGGCACGCUCGACCUGGCCGUUAGUUCGAGGGUGGGCUACUGCAGACCAGUUCACACGGAUGUGAUGCUGAUCGCAGAAGUCCAAGAACUUUUUGCCAGUGAACUGAGUGCCGUUGUCGGUGAUGAUGACGUUGGGAAUCCCAAAUUGAUGGAUUAUGUCGGUGAAGAAAAGGACGGCCUGCUCGGAGCGGAUGUUGGUGAUGGGUCGAGCCUCGAUCCAUUUGGAGAAUUUGUUAAUGGCCACCAGCAAGUGGGUGAACCCUCCUUUCGCCUUUUGUAGAGGUCCUACUAAAUCGAGCCCCCACACCGCAAACGGCCAGGUGAUGGGGAUCAUCUGAAGAGCGUGGGCGGGCAGGUGCGUCUGCUUGGCGUAGAACUGGCACCCGUGACACGAGCGUACGAGCUCGAUGGCAUCUGCCACGACCGUCGGCCAGUAGAAACCUUGUCGGAAAGCGUUUCCUACGAGGGUCCGUGGAGCAGCAUGGUGGCCGCAGGCCCCCGAGUGUAGAUCCUCGAGGAGUUUUCGGCCUUCUUCCAUGGUGAUGCAGCGCUGUAAGACCCCCGUGGGGCUUCGUCGAUAUAGCUCAUCGUCUUCGCCAUAGAUCACAUAUGACUUGUCCCGUCGAGCGAUACGACGGGCCUCUGACCGAUCUUCUGGCAGCUCGCCCCGGAUUAGGCAGUCGAGGUAUGGUGUGCGCCAGUCGAAUGGUCGACCAGGCUGCCAUUCUACCUCCAUCACUUCAGCCGCCAUCAAGAGUAUGUUGACGGUGUGGGGGCUGGAUUGGGCAGGAGCAGCGUCGAUGCCAGCCCCCGAGCCUAAGUCGACGGAUGGUUCGUGGAGGUCUCUUGAGAACGCGUCCGGUGGCACCGUGCCUCGAGCCGAUGCGAUCUUGGCGAGUUCGUCGGCUGCCUCGUUGUAGCGUCGGGCGACAUGGACGAGCUCGAGACCAUGGAAUUUGUCCUCGAGUCGAUGGACUUCUUUGCAGUACGCCUCCAUUUUCGGGUCGUGGCAGCUCGAGGUUUUCAUUACUUGGUCGACGACGAGUUGGGAGUCACCUCGAACGUCGAGGCGUUGGACUCCUAACUCGAUGGCAAUCUUGAGACCAUUGACAAGGGCCUCAUAUUCUGCGACAUUGUUAGACGCGGCAAAAUGAAUCCUGAUCACAUACCUCAUGUGGACACCCAAGGGUGAGAUGAACAGCAGGCCGGCCCCAGCCCCCGUUUUCGUGAGUGACCCGUCGAAAUACAUUGUCCACAGCUCCGCCUGGACCUGGGUCGGGGGAAGCUGGGAGUCCGUCCAUUCCGCGACGAAGUCAACCAGGGCUUGCGAUUUGAUGGCCUUUCGAGGCGCGUAAGUGAGAGUCUCACUCAUGAGCUCGACCGACCACUUAGCUAUUCUUCUCGUGGCUUCCUUGCUCCGGAUUAUCUCGCCCAAGGGGAAAGAUGAAACCACUGUGAUGGGGUGACCGAGGAAGUAAUGCUGCAGCUUGUGGCGGGCAAGGAUUACAGCGUAGAUCAGCUUCUGGAUUUGGGGGUAACGCGCCUUGGUCUCCGAAAGCACCUCGCUGAUGAAAUAGACUGGCCUUUGGACCGGCAGCGCAUGACCCUCCUCCUGUCUUUCAACCACCACUGCCGCACUGACGACCUGGGUCGUUGAUGCGACGUAGAGGAGUAGCGGCUCUGCAGGUUGAGGUGGGACCAGGACUGGUGCCGAGGUCAGCAUCUUCUUCAGCCUUUCGAGCGCUUCCUCGGCCUCGGGGGUCCAAGAGAAGCGUUCGACCUUCUUCAGAAGUCGAUACAAUGGUAACGCCUUUUCUCCUAGUCUCGAGAUGAAACGGCUCAGGGCCGCCAGGCAUCCCGUGACUCUCUGCACACCCUUGAUGUCUCGGAUCGGCCCCAUUCUUGUGAUGGCCGAGACUUUCUCGGGGUUGGCCUCGAUGCCGCGCUGCGAAACAAUGUAGCCCAAGAGCAUGCCUCAAGCCAUGCCAAAAACGCACUUCUCGGGAUUGAGCUUGAUCUGGUUGGCGCGUAAACAGCUAAAAGCGAUCUCAAGGUCCUGGAUCAGGUCCCCUCGCCGCUUUUACUUGACGACAAUGUCAUCGACAUAGGCCUUGACCGUCGACCCUAUGUGUUCACCAAAUACAUGGAGCAUGCAACGUUGGUACGUAGCUCCCGCGUUUCGAAGCCCAAAUGGCAUGGUCACAUAGCAAUACAUCCCAAAAGGCGUGAUGAAAGAGGUCGCGAGCUGGUCGGACUCCUUCAUUUUUAUUUCGUGGUAACCAGAAUAUGCAUCAAGGAAAGAAAGGGUUUCACAUCCCGCGGUAGAAUCGAUAAUCUGAUCAAUACGUGGUAAUGGAAAAGGAACUUUCGGACAUGCUUUAUUUAGACUAGUAUAAUCGAUACACAUCCUCAUUUUCCCAUUCUUUUUCUUAACUAAUACAGGGUUUGCUAACCAGUCGAGAUGAUGAACCUCCUUGAUGAAUCCGGCCGUCAAAAGCUUGUGGACUUCCUCGCCAAUGAUCUUGCGCUUCUCCUCAUCGAAUCGGCGCAACCGCUGCUUCACUGGCUUGGAACCGGCUCGAAUCUCCAAGGAGUGCUCGGCGACUUCCCUCGGUAUGCCUGGCAUGUCCGAGGGACUCCAUGCAAACAUGUCGGUGUUUGCACGGAGAAAGUCGACGAGCACAGCUUCCUAUUUGGGGUCGAGAUCGGCGCUAAUCGUCAGCACCUUGCCGUCGGAGUUGUUGGGGUCGAGUGGGAUCUUCUUGGUUCCUUCUGCCGCCUCGAAGCUGCCCGCGUGGCGCUUGGGCUCUGGAGCCUCAGCGGCCAGGGCUUCGAGCUUCGCGACGAGCUCGGUGGAGUUCUCGACCGCCUCCCCGUACUCAACGCACUCGACGUCGCACUCGUACGCGUGCUCGAAGGAGGAGCUGACGGUGAUGACGCCUUUGGGGCCGGGCAUCUUCAGCUUCAGGUAGGUGUAGUUGGGUAUAGCCAUGAACUUGGCGUAGCCCGGGCGUCCGAUGAUGGCGUGGUACGUGCCUCGGAAUCCAACCACCUCAAAGGUGAGGGUUUCCUUCCUGAAGUUGGCCGCCGUGCCAAAGCAGACCGGUAAGUCGAUUCGACCUACCGGCAGUGCUUUUUUCCCUGGCACGACGCCAUGGAAACCGCCGGCACUUGGUUGGAGCUUCCCUCUAUCUAUGCCGAGGAGGUCGAGGGUCUCGAGGUAGAUGAUGUUGAGGCUGCUGCCACCGUCCAUUAGCACCUUUGAGAGCCGGGUGUUGACGAUGAUAGAGUCGACGAUGAGCGGGUGUUGAUAUUUGGUAACGCAAUUAGAAAAUGAUCCGCAAGCGCACGGAUAUCGGUGAGCAUUUCACCCGGGAGGUUAUCCAGAGUUAUCGUAUUUAUAUUUUUACCACUGGGAGAAAGGGUGCAUCUGACUAACCAAAUCUAUUGCUACUAUCCCUUUAGGCUACAAAGAAUGUCUCUCGAUGUGAGUGAUGUAUAGAGAAGACUGCAACAGUACUCUCAUUCUAACCUUGGUAAGGAUGAUCUACUGUUCUAUUGGGGAGGCUCACGGAAUCUAGACAACACAAAGGAUGUUCGACCCGCACCUAUAAACCUACCCGUCCUGCUAACGAGAUGUGAUCUGCAAAGGUAACUCGGAAAUGUCACGUUCCUCGCUACUACCACGGUCCAGCUAGUCAGGGGAUAUCUAUGAGUACCCUAGCCUAAACACCACGUUUACGCUAGCAAGUGAUUACUCUAAUACUCAACCGGAAGAGGAUUAAAGUAAACUCAUAAACCAAAGAACAAUAAAACAAGAACUUACUAGCAUUAGAAGUCGAAUUACUGAAGAAUCUUAGCAGCAAGCCUCGGGUUAGGAGACUUGAUCCCGUAGGUACAACUCGGGGUAGACACCGACAGGCCGGCCUUCCUCCGAUCCACACCUCCACUCUAUCUCUCUCAAUCUAGUAGAAACUAGAAGAUCUAUUUCUACUUUACAUUGGUUGCUAAGCCUAAAAAGAAAUAUUAUUUAGAGAAGAGGUUUUCCUUCGAGGGCACCCCUCAAUCUCUAUGAUAAUUUCUUGUCUCCUCCAGGGGCCAGAGGGGGUCUCCUUAUAUAGUCCUCCCCUUCUAUGCAUUUUUGGGUCGAUAGGCGAGGUGGUACUAUGUUUUCCUUGAUCCAAUAGGUCGGUGGAACAUCCCGAGCGAAAGAGUCCUGAUUUGGCUCCAACAGGGGGGCGGGUGCCCUGGGCCUGGCCCAGUUUCGCCUCCGCUUCGAUCUCGUGGCUUCUGGAGUCUUCUAGAUGAUGUAAAAUCGUGCGGUGCGUUGAUAUCUCUAUGUAAUCCCGACAUGUGGGCCUUUCUUCCUUAUUUCCUGAUAACCCCCUGCAGAAAUAGACAAACACCAAACCUCGUGGAAUUCUGUCAGAUAAAACCCUAAGUCUAGAUGUUGAUUUCAUUUGGAUCCUUUUCUUUGUUUAUUUGAUAAUUAAAUUUGAUACUUAAGGACCGUCAACAAAAUCCCCCAAGCUUACCUCUUGCUCGUCCCUGAGCAAGGAUGAACUCAAGAGUUCCUGCAGUGGUUUCAUUUCUUAGAAGUACACACGCAUUUAAGCAAGAUCUCAUCUCUGAGUUAGAAUAAACUGUUAAGACUUAAAACUUACUUACUUUACCUACACCAUAGGAUUUGUAACCGUCACUUCUGUCUUGAGUGGUUAAAAGAUAGAACAGUCUAGCCAAGUGCCAUGUCUCUUAUUCUUGAUCAGCUAUAGCUCUGGGGUUUUUACAGAUUUUCAAAUAAAACUCAGAAAUUCCUUGUAUGAUACUCUCAGGUCUCUCUUUUGUGGUAUUUUUGGAUCCUUACCAAGGCAGUGAUGGUAUAUGCCUUCUCUCGAGAUAUGUAGUAUUUGUGGUAUGAAGCAUAGUGACAUUGUCUUCUCUCUCACCCUACUCUAAUAAGGCUUUAAUAUUUGGAGCUCAUAGGUGGGAGAUAAAGUAUACAUACUUACAAGACAUUUAUUGCAUAGUCAAACCAUGGAUCCAAAGAAACAAAUCAAUAAGCCAAAUCAAGAUGUGCAUGUGUGGCGAAUGAAUGGUGUAUGGUGAUGAUGGAGAUAACAAUGGUGAAAGUCUAAUUCUACUUUUGCUCUUUUAAGGGGAUACAUACCUUUCUUGCACUUAGAAGCUUUUUUUUUGGGGAGAAUGAGAUGCUCUAUAUUUUCUUUUUCUUUCCUCUCAGGUGGGUAUCUUGUACCCCUAAUUCUACUGUCGGACACUUGUCCAUUUUUACCUCUCGUCUCACUUUUUCUUUUCUUCGAGGUUCCGGGCACUUGCCCCUUUUUAUUUCCUCGUAUAUUAUUAUAUUUUUUUUUCUUCUUCUUUUUUUUAGAGCACUCAUCUCCUGAAAUAAUAUAGCAAGUGGUAGUAACCAAGAUAACUUGAGCAUUUAUUUCACAGGGAAUAACAGGGAUAGGAAAAUAUUUUUGGCUAUUCUCUCCCGGAUUAGGAGUAGAAUAAUUUUUGAGUGAAUGUGGAGAUGGAAAUGAGUGGAUAUAUGUGGAUGGUACUUCCGGAGUAGAAGUAGCAUGUAUGAGUGAACGUGCAAGUGAAUCUUGAUUUAACCACAUGACAAGCUUCUAAGGGUCUACACAGCUUGACCACACUCAAUGCUCAUAAGCAGUAAAUAAUAAAUGUGUGGCUCAAAGUCUAGCAAGCAUGUAUAUAUGGUUGUGGUAGGAAUUUUCAACUCUCAUCAUACAGGAACUCGUCAUGUAAUAUUUUAAAGAUUUUCAAAGAUAAAAUUCUCCAGAAUUCUAGCAUCUCUAGGAACAGAUAAACAGCAGCUCAACCUUCCCAUAUCUUAUCCGUUAACAACUUAGAUUUCAGAUCAAGUUUUCAUCCCACAAGUUUAGAUCUAGAGCAAGCUUUAAAUUAUAACAGUUAUGUCUAAACUUGAGAGAGAACUUUAAAUUUGCAAAUUAGGCAGAGCAACUAUUCAUCAUAUCCAUGCUAGAGUUUUAUUAUUAAGAUUCAUAGCAAACUUUAUUUAUUUAUUUAUUUAGCAAACUAAGAAAAGAUAUAUAUAUAUAUAAUCAUAAAAUCUUUAUUUGGUUUUUUAUAGUUUAUGUAUUUUAAAAUUCUAAUAUAAUAUAAGUAUAAAGAUAGGUAGAAAUACUUAGCGAGAUAAAUAGGGGUACUCUCUCCCAAGCUGAAUUUUGACGUAAUUUCUCUUGAUGUAGCUAGCAGGUGGCAGAGGUGUAUUUGAAAGUCAGCAGCAUUCUGACAGCGAUUAGAAUGUCCUCCGUCUGCUAGUCUUCUUAAAUUCUGUGGAGCUCAAAUAGACAACAAAGCUUGUGGAACUAAUUAAGUGUUAGCAUAAAUAUCUAGCCUUUAUCAUGUUGAGCCUCCUCAAUAAAUGUUACUUAUUUAGCAGGAUCAUGCACUUAUUAUUUUUAUAUUUUUAUUGUAAGAUGAAAACAUAUUUAUUUUAUUUUUUUUAUGCCACCACAGUGAAUGUCCUUAUGGGUUUUAUGCCAUGAGCAUACUCACAUGGGGCUUACUAUUUUUUUUAAUAUUUUUAUUUUCUUUUCAAGAUAGCAUGAACCUGAUUAACUAAGCAAACUAUAAUUGAAUAAUUGAAAGGAAAAGGAUAAUUACCAGGUUUACCUCUUGGCAAGGCGUUCGGUGUUUUUAAGUCCUCCGAACGGGACUCCUUGUGUCUUCAGUCGUCCUGGGAUUCGCUAGGUGGCGUAGUCGGUGGUUCCGGCGGCGCCUCUUCUUCGUGUAUAACUAUCUUCUCUCUCCACACCUGACUCCGUGCUACGGUCUCCUCAGGAUAGUUGUAUUCAAGCUGUAUGUCUUCAGACCUUAUCACUUCUCCUUCGUAGUCUACCCAUCCGUCUUUGAUGAUCUGCCUCCUCUGGUUGCGGUUGCGUUGUCUUCUUCUUGUCCUGACCUGCUUAGAAUCUUCAACUAUAUAGUUAGAAUCAUUAAAGUAGUGGCGUACCUUCUCAGAGGGGAAGUGCAUGUGGACUUCUCCAGUUCCAAUAUAGAUGAUGGCUUUGAUAGUGCUGAGGAACUGUCUUCCAAGGACGGUGGGUGGAUCAUACUCGUCUUCUCCCAUGACCUGAAAAUCAUCUAUAGCUGAAUGUAGGGGCAUGGUUUCAUGCAGGAGCUGAUAAGUGACUACGGCCAUUAUGUUGACAUCAGAUCCAGUGUCGUAGAGUGUCUUCUGAAAAGAGUAUCUGUUGAUUGUGCAUUCGAUGCUUGGAACACCAGGGUCGUCCUUCUUGAUUAGGAAAGGCGACUUGAGUCGACGAUCUUGACCUCCUUGAGCUGCAGUGACCAUCUUAGCUGACUCGGUCCACAUUUGCUUGUUCCUGUUCCUCCUGUUGGUCCUCUCCCUUGGUUCAUGUCGGGAUUGCUCUGAAGUUUGUGUAGUCUUGUUCUUGAAGGAAAAUCUCCUUCUUCCCCUUGAUGUAGAGACUGAUCUUGGCAGCAUUAGCGUAGAUGACACUUCUGGUGUUUAGGAAGGGCCUCCCUAAGAUGAUGGGUGCCCUCUCCUCAGUGCCAGUCUCUAUCACCACAAAGUUUGCUGGAGUGUACAAGGUACCAACUCGGACACAGAGGUUCUUCAAUAUUUCCUUUGGGAAACUAAGUGUCUGAUCUCCAUUGUGUUUGUGCUCGUAGAUCCUGGUUCUUCACUUGAUGGAAUCUGGGAGUUGUAAAACGCCUUCACAUUUCUCAAAAUGUGUCCUGCUCAUAGAGACAAGGCAGAGAUCAAGUGCAUGGGCCCUGUUGGUGGAAAACACCAACAGAACCAAAAGUGUAUUUGUUCUUCUCUAACCUUAAGCAUAGUGAGCAAGACAAAGUUGAUGGAUCAUGAGUGUAGCAUUUAAAACAUUUGUUAGAUCAGAUGGCUCAACCUAAUGGAAAGAUAAUCUAUCUAUAUUUAUGUUUUGUUUAUAUCUUCCAAAGAUUGAAUGUGCAACACUUUAGCUUAUAUGAUUAGGAGUGUGGGAUCACGAAGGUAGUACUAAGAACAAAGAUUAAAGGACUAAUCAUAUUGAAUUAAUUGGGUUGAUUAAUUUGGAGCUACAAAUCAUACAUGUUUGUCUCUUUAUUUUAUGUGAACGCUAGAACCAAGGAGAAGCUUAUAAAAGUGAUAGUCAAGUACCUUAAAAUGUUACCUUACUUGAAGAGUGACGGUACAGUAUCACCUUGUGAAAGCUUUCCUUUCUUAGCGGUUGUGCAUCGUGUUUGUGGCACCCUCCAUGGAUCAUCUCUUUAUGAUGAAUGAGCUAUGUCCUUCUUGUGCAAAUUGUUAAACUUCAUGUGUCUCCUUUAUCUCCAAUGAGUUUGUAUCUCAGGACUUCCCAGGUUGAUAUUGAAAGUUUUCCUGCAGGGGUUAGUCCAACAAAAUAUCCCAUACCUACUAUAGCAUACUAUCGGCUCAAAAAUCAACCUAGACACCAUGUCUAAUUUGAUUUAGGAGGGCAUUUUAACCUAAGCACCAUGCUUAAUUUAAAAAAAUCCUUUGGAAGUAAGAUCAUCAUUCCUAAACUAAGCACCAUGCUUGAUUUAAGAGAUAAAUGAAACUACUCCAAACCUAGACAUAUACUAAAGCAAAUAAAGGUAGCAUGAGAGCAUUUAUAGCGAUCUACUCAAAUGGAGGUGAAGUAGUGUAAUUAGUACUUAACAAAUUGAGCAUCUCUCAAAGGUAGGGACAACCAACAUAGCAACAUGGCAAAGGAUGUUUUUAUGUAAAGUACUCCCCCAAGCUCGAAUUUUGCAAAAUUCAAGUUUGGAUGAAUUUAAUUUAAUGUUGCAUGAUGAUUGGUUGGGCAUACCUUGCGCUCGUCAUUCAUCCGAUCUUCUUGCUCCAAUCCUAGAAAGGUUAGUGGCAAGAAUACCCGAAGGAAUAUUUCUACAAUUAUCUUUAUAUGCUCAAUAUACAAGGCAAUGUUGCAAAUAAUUAGAAGUGCUUGUUUUAGGACACUAAGCUUGUCCUUGGGGAACCAUCAAUUAACUCAACGAGAUCUGCAAUAUUUAUUAUAGACAUACGCAUCGACAACCGCCCUUUUAAAGUUUUUAUAAAUAGAAAAGAAGAGGGGGUUGGAGAUCUCAAAUGUGGUAAGGAUGGAGAGACUAAUUGAUUGGAGAGAUGUUUUAUAUGAGCAAGGACUGGGUAAGGUAUUUAUGAAAUAACUUCCAUGCUCACUGUUGUUUCUCUCAUUCUCAAGCUCCAAGGAUGAUUCUUCAUGAAUGCUAAAAAUUCCUCUAGGAUUGUCUCUCAAGUUUGUUUUAUCUAUCAAUUCAAUGGUGAUAGCACAUGGAUUUUUAAUGCCCUUUAGCCAUUGAUGUUGCCCUUCUCGAUCCUCCUUCUUAUGCAUGGGAUGUCUAGAGAGAUUCAUAUGAUUAUCGGGAGGUUUAAGAGAAAGAGCAUAGUAGAAUUUAUUAAGCUCAAGGAAGGUGUGGAUAGCCGAAUUAUGGGUUUGAAAUGUUUGGAAAUUGGCUAUUAAAACUUCCUUUCCUUGUCUGGGAGAUGAUUCCUUCUCUAUUUCUAAGAUUUUUCUAUGAAGACUAGUACAAGAAGGAUGUCCACGAAUGAAGACAUACCUUCCUUUACUAAUAGAUAAAGAAAGAAGGACUCUACCAAAGGUUAUAUGAUUAAGACCAAUGUGAAAAUAUUUAGGAAAAACAUGGUCUUGUAGGGCUAGGUCUAAACCAGAAUUUAUAAAAAGAUUAACAGAUUCCCUAGGUGUAGCUAAAAGUGCAUUAUCUUCUUGAUUAAAAGAUAGGACCUCGGCUAUAGAAAAGGGUUGGUUUUGACCUAUUGCAAUCAACUCCGGACACAGAUCAUAAUUAGGGGCAGGACGUGUUGACUCCCAUGGUCUAUGGCUGGUCUCCGAAGGUGCAAAGAAUUCAAUAAUAGGUAUGGAAUUUAAGUUAUCCAUAAAGAUAAAAAUAAAAAGAUAACAGAAUAAAAGUAUAAAAGUAUAAUACAAGAUAAUAGCAAGACUCAAAGUUAUCUCAGCAAAUCGUCUUUCUCCCCGGCAACGGCGCCAGAAAUGCUUGUUGAUAUUUGGUAACGCAAUUAGAAAAUGAUCCGCAAGCGCACGGAUAUCGGUGAGCAUUUCACCCGGGAGGUUAUCCAGAGUUAUCGUAUUUAUAUUUUUACCUCUGGGAGAAAGGGUGCAUCUGACUAACCAAAUCUAUUGCUACUAUCCCUUUAGGCUACAAAGAAUGUCUCUCGAUGUGAGUGAUGUAUAGAGAAGACUGCAACCGUAGUCUCGUUCUAACCUUGGUAAGGAUGAUCUACUGUUCUAUUUGGGAGGCUCACGGAAUCUAGACAACACAAAGGAUGUUCGACCCGCACCUAUAAACCUACCCGUCCUGCUAACGAGAUGUGAUCUGCAAAGGUAACUCGGAAAUGUCACGUUCCUCGCUACUACCACGGUCCAGCUAGUCAGGGGAUAUCUAUGAGUACCCUAGCCUAAACACCACGUUUACGCUAGCAAGUGAUUACUCUAAUACUCAACCGGAAGAGGAUUAAAGUAAACUCAUAAACCAAAGAACAAUAAAACAAGAACUUACUAGCAUUAGAAGUCGAAUUACUGAAGAAUCUUAGAAGGAAGCCUCGGGUUAGGAGACUUGAUCCCGUAGGUACAACUCGGGGUAGACACCGACAGGCCGGCCUUCCUCCAAUCCACACCUCCACUCUAUCUCUCUCAAUCUAGUAGAAACUAGAAGAUCUAUUUCUACUUUACAUUGGUUGCUAAGCCUAAAAAGAAAUAUUAUUUAGAGAAGAGGUUUUCCUUCGAUGACACCCCUCAAUCUCUAUGAUAAUUUCUUGUCUCCUCCAGGGGCCAGAGGGGGUCUACUUAUAUAGUCCUCCCCUUCUAUGCGUUUUUGGGUCGAUAGGCGAGGUGGUACUAUGUUUUCCUUGAUCCAAUAGGUCGGUGGAACAUCCCGAGCGAAAGAGUCCUGAUUUGGCUCCAACAGGGGGGCGGGCGCCCAGGCUACCAGGGCGGGCGCCCUGGGCCUGGCCCAGUUUCGCCUCCGCUUCGGUCUCGUGGCUUCUGGAGUCUUCUAGAUGAUGUAAAAUCGUGCGGUGCGUUGAUAUCUCUAUGUAAUCCCGACAUGUGGGCCUUUCUUCCUUAUUUCCUGAUAACCAUUGCAGAAAUAGACAAACACCAAAACUCGUGGAAUUCUGUCAGAUAAAACCCUAAGUCUAGAUGUUGAUUUCAUUUGGAUCCUUUUCUUUGUUUAUUUGAUAAUUAGAUUUGAUACUUAAGGACCGUCAACAGCGGGUAGACGCCUGGGGCGACUACCUUGUCGGGGUGGUCCUGUCGAUCGAAAGUGAUGGGUGUGCUUGACCAGCUAAGGUACUGGGGCACCGCCAUUCUUGCCGCGAAGACCUCACGACGCUCCCUUUUGCGCUGCCUCGUGGUUAACUGAGUCGAGAGCCCGCCAUAGAUCAUGUAGCAGUCGUGGAUGGCGGGGAAGCCGUCGUCAUCUUUGUUGUCCUCCUUGUUGCCACCCUUCUCUUUCUUGGGGUCGUCACGCGCAUCUUUCUUGAACCCUAGACCGUCAAAAUGCUUUUUCAGCAUACGACAGUCCUUGAGCUUGUGGUUGGCGCCUCCCUUAUGAUAAGGGCACGGCUCCUCCAGCAUCUUGUCGAAGAUGCCUCCAUCUGGAGGGCCUCGAGGUUUCUUUCGAUCCAUGGCGGCAACAAGAUUGUCAUCGGAAUCCUCCCGGUGGAAAUGCCGUGCUUUCUGCUUCUUUUUAUUUUUCUUGAGGCCUCGACUGGGGGUCCCAUCUUCAUCGAUGGGCUGCUUGCCUUUUCUUCCUUCAGAGCUGAAGAAGGCACCGACUGCCUCCUCCCCUGCCGCGUAGUUGGCUACUACGUCCAUCAGCUCGUCGACGGUCUGAGGUCGAUUGCGACCUAAUUCCCGCACCAAGUCUCGACUGGUGGUGCCCGAGACAAACGCCAAGAUGACGUCGUGGUCCGAGAUGUGCGGCAGCUCGGUGCACUGCUUUGAGAAGCGUCGAGCAUACUCUCGAAGAGUUUCUCCUGACUUCUGUUUGCACUUGCUGAGGUCCCACGAGUUCCCGGGCCGUAUGUAGGUUCCUUUGAAAUUACCCUCGAAAACUUUUACCAAGUCGACCCAGUCGUGAAUCUGAUUUGCUGGAAGCUCUUCGAGCCAUCGACGGGCGGUGUCGGAGAGGAAGAGUGGUAGCUGUCUGAUGAUGGCUCGAUCAUCACCUCGAGCGCCACCUAGCUGACAAGCCAGCCUGAAAUCGGCCAGCCAUAACUCCGGUUUGGUCUCCCCAUUGUAUUUUGCGAUGCUGGUCGGGGGUCGGAAUGGACUGGGCAGGGGCGUGCUGCGGAUCGCCCUGCUGAACACCCGUGGGCCUGGAGGCUCGGGAGCCAUCCGGUCUUCGUCGCUGUCGUACCCCCACCGCGAUGCGCGCUGUAACCGCGCUCUUCCGCGUCUCCGUGCCGACGGCGUCGAUUCUCUUCGAUGUCAUGCCGUACAUCGUCUCGACGCAUAUUGUCGCCGGGGAGGACGAGCGCUGUCUUUCUUCCUUGAGGUGGCGGCAGUUGGUGGACCGAAACCUCUUUUUCAUUCUGAGGCGGUUCGUCGCGCUUUUCAGUGGCAGCUCCUCAUCGUCGAGAAGCUGAGCUUUCGGCUUGUUGAACUGCCGCCACCUGGAGCAGGGUCUGUACCUCGUCUCGAAUGCGUCGAGCUUGGGAGUUCGAUGGUUCUGGCAUGUUGUGCAGCAGCAUCGUUGCUGCCACUACGUUUUGGCCUGCUCGAGGGAAGCGGCUGACGGGCUGCUCUGGCUCUGCGUCUCCGACGAUUUGUCGAUGCACCUCUCGAGCACGUCUGCGAACGCUUCCGCCUGGUGGAUACGGCAAGUCUUGCUCAAGGAUUUGCUCAGGCAGGACGAGGCGCUCUCGGUCUUCGUCGAGCUUCAUCUUGAGCUCUCGUAGCUGCGCUAGCUGUGCAGCCUUGUCUUCUUGUGGAGGAGGGUCGACCUGUCCGUCGUUCCCAGGCGUCCUGGGGUCUUCUCGUGCCGCGGGGGCUCGACCGCCCGCAGCAGCAUCCCGCGUCUCGUCGGUAGUUUCUACCGCCCCGUCGAUGUGAUAGCAUUCCCUUGUAGGGUCGUAGCUAUCAGUCUCGGAGUCAGAGUCUGGUUCAGCGGCGUAGAAACAUCCACGUCCUUCCUCCAGCAGCCGUUGCCUGAGCGAGGUGAUCGUGUAUCGCCCAGGGCCUAGGCGGCGGAGGCCUCGCACCUGGGAGAGAUUCGGCAGUCCGGGCGUCGGCUGUGGUGCUCCUGACUCACGUGGGAGGACCAUUGGUCUUUCCACGUAUGUCUGGGCGUUUGGCCAUAUCGCCCUGGCGAGCGACGCCGCGGCGUUGUCCAAUCCGAAUGGCAGUGUCCUUCUUGGAAUGAACAACCCGUGUGGAAGCAGCCUAGCAGCGGUAGGGGAGAGUGCUCGAGAUGCGUCCCCUCUCGUUGUUGUGCGGUGCUGAGCCGUCGCGCUCGUUGCUUCGACACAUGGUGCUGCCGACUUGUGGCCUGCUUCCUGCUUCGCACGAGUUGUUGGUCGUGAUGAAGUAGAGGGGCCGCGGUGGUGCUGUCCGCGCCUCUUCUUAUGCAGGAAGGCGUGGUGGUGAGGGCGUCUCGGGGCCCUCAACCGUGCUGGCGCAACGCGGGCUCCUCCUGGUCCUCUGACUGAGAGCAAGAUCAUGUCGUAGCCGGAGCCCGUAGACAUGAACUCGAGACUCCCAAACCAAAUCACCGUGGAGCGCGGAAUCGGCGAGGCGAGAGUGGCCAUCUGGAAAGGAGUGGGAAAUCGAUGAAAAACACGCAGGACCCCUACCUGGCGCGCCAACUGUCGGUGUUUUCCCCACUGGGGGUCACACCAACGAGUAAAUUUGUAUGCGUGCUCCCUUUCCCAGAUGGUGAUGCAAGAAGACACAGAGAUUUAUCCUGGUUCGGGCAAGAGAAGGCCCUACGUCCAGCGGGGGGAGAGAGUUUGUAUUAUCUUGCACCUAAGUGCUUGUACAGGGGUGAAUACAAGCGUGGUAUGAAGUGUGGAAUUCUACUGCGUAUGAGCGUGGUGUUGUGUCGUGAUGUCUCUUAUGUUUUAUUCCUGAGUCCCUUCUUUUAUAGUUCCAAGGAGAGACCCAAGGUACAUGUAUAGGCGUCAGAAUAGGAGUCGAUAGCAGUAUGGAGCGCUGACCUACUCGAGGCUUCCGUACCGGCAUAGCCUCGAGCCGUCCCGUCUUAAUAGCCUAGUGAUGAUUACGCGUGCCCCUGCAUUCUGCUCUGUGCGCCGUCUUGGAUUGGUUUGGCGGAUGCACGCUUGUACGAUCCGGCGGCAAAUCCGGCGGAGUGGUUGGGAUGUAGUCAGUCGAGGCCCAACCCGUCCCCUGGAAGGAUUCCUGUCUGGUCGAGGUUCGGAUGCCGUACAUUGUGCUGAUAUCCGGAGCGCUGACUUUAGACGUCUCGAGGGGGUCCCGAUUAGACAUCCCAUCCUUGUUUCCCGCGCCCUGUCAUGCCCUGGGUCGUUCGGCGGGAACGCUGCAAAAAGAUCGAUGGGACGGAAGCCUGUUCCCUAUCACGCCUCCCGUGAUCUGUGUGUUAGGUGGGGAAGCAUCAGGCGCAUUUAAUGCCCCGGCCCGCGUGCGCGCGUCAGGCGGCGGGUGGCGUCCUUGCGCUCGACGCCCCCCGGUUCGCGUGAGCCUGUUCCGUAUUCGACGGUAACUGGCGCUCGACGCCUGAUCGAUUCGCUCGACGCUAUUUCCGUCCUCGAGGUCGCGGCCGUCGAUGGCAGCGCAUACGUAAGACUAGAGCGUCGAAUUGAAAGCCUUGACCUGCGUACGGGUAAUCUCAUAAUGCACAUCUGUGAGGGUACCCCUUUCUGAUACCCUCAACAAUGAUAAACUAAGAACAAUAUAAUCUUGAAUAUAAGCAAGUAGAGCAAAGUUGAAAUAGAACAAAGUCAUAUUCAUAAUAUUGAAGAACAAAGAUAAUUAGAAAGCAAUUAGAAGCACAAUUAGAGAAUUACCAAGAAUCCUCCUGACAGAUCCGGAAACCAAUCGAAGAUUGACUCCUUCUAGUUCUAAUCCUAUGUAGCUAUGCUAAUCUAGAUAUCUAAUUGAUGUGGUGGCUCUAAUCUUGAUCAGAGGCUUCUUCUCCCUUGAUGGAACAAUGAAUUAGGGUUGAGAGGCUCUCUCCUCCAGGGGCCAGGGGGUCUGGUUUUAUAGUCCCUCCAAGUGAAUACGGGCCGUUGGAUCAAACCGACAUAGAUUGUAUGGUUUAGAUUCAUCCUUUAGGUCGGUGGAGAUUUCCCGCGAAGCAGAGUCCUGAUUGGACUACUGGAGAGGACGGGCGCCUAGGGGAACAGGGCGGGCGCCCUGCCUCUGGCCCCGUUUCGCCUCCGCUUCGGUCUCGUGGCUUCUGGAGUCUUCUAGAUGUAAGAUAAUUGCGCAGCACGUUAAUAUCUCUAUGUAAUCCCGACGUGUGGGCCUUUCUUCCGUAUUUUCUGAUAACCCCCUGCAGAAAUAGACAAACACCAAAACUCGUGGAAUUCUAUCAGAUAAAACCCUAAGUCUAGAUGUUGAUUUCAUUUGGAUCCUUUUCUUUAUUUAUUUGAUAAUUAAAUUUGAUACUUAAGGACCGUCAACAUGCAACACAUUCACCAUAUCAGGAGUCCCCAAAGAUGCUAUACUACUUUGCCUCUUCCCAUUCUCACUGUUAGGAAGGGCGAAGCAGUGGUUCUACGCUACAAAGGAGAAGAAUAUUACAUGGGCACUGUGCUCCACGAACUUUCUGGCUAAGUUCUUUCCCAUGGGCAAGACCAAUGCUCUCCGUGGGAAAAUUACAAGAUUUCAGCAACAACAUGAUGAAUUUGUUCCAGAAGCAUGGGAGCGAUUCCAAGACUACAUCCUAGAAUGUCUCCAUCAUGGAAUGGAGAGCUCGCAACUGAUGCAGACGUUUUAUCAUGGGCUUGGCAAUAGUGCCCGGGAGACCAUGGAUGCUGGAGCUGGAGGAGCAUUCCUAUCACUCACCAUAUCACAAGCCACAACUCUUGUGGAGAAGAUGGCGUCUAACCAAAGCUGGAAUGAAGAAAGGACCCAGACACGCAAGAGAGGUGGAGGUAUACAUCAGCUCAAGGAGGUAGACAUGUUGUCUGCAAAGCUAGACCUGCUCAUGAAGAAGCUCGAUGAUAGAGCUAGAGACAAGAAAGAAGUUAUGCACAUCUACAACUCUCACAUGACUUGUGAGGAGUCUAGAAAUACUAGACACUCAGGCAAUCACUGCCCUGAGAUACUUGAGGAUGUGAACUACAUCAACAAUAACAACAACAACUACUACAACCGUCCUCAACAAAAUCAAGUUUGGAACCAACAGAGGCCUACUUACUCAGGUAAUUAUCAAGGUAAUAAUUCUUACAACAAUAAUAAUAAUUUUUUACCUCUGAGAGAGUUAGUGUCUAAUCAAGGAAAGCUAAUGGAUAACUUAUCUAAGAAAUUGGCAUCAAAUGAUAAAAUGUUAGAAAAUAUAAAUAAUAGAAUGGAUAAUUUCUCUACUACCAUCAAGAAUCAAUUUAGCUUUAAUAAGAUGAUUGAAUCUCAGUUAAAUCAAAUAGCUGCUGCUAUUCCUGCUACUAACCCCGGUAUACCAUCACAACCGGAAGGAUUAGAAUCUGCAAAUCCUGUAGACAUGUUUGAAGCAGGUAAAUACUGGAGCAACCCCGUCACUGAAGUUACUACUGACCUUCUGCCGGUCAAGAGAGGCGAUCCAGGACGCCCCGUCAUCCCGAUCUCCAUCGGCGUAGUGGACUUCCCAGAAGCACUCUGUGACUUUGGCUCUAGUGUCAACAUUAUGCCCAGGGUACUCUAUGAAAAAUUCUUUACAUAUCCUUUAUUAGAAACAACCAUGUGUUUGCAGUUUGCAGAUCAGACAUUAAGUUUCCCAAAGGGAAUAUUGAAGAACUUUUGUGUCCGAGUUGGUACCUUGUACGCCCCAGCAGACUUCGUGGUGGUAGAAACCGGUAAUGUUGAGAGGGCACCCAUCAUCUUAGGGAGGCCAUUCUUAAACACCUCGGAAGCUGUCAUCUACGCUAGUGCUGCCAAGAUUAGUUUCUACAUCAAAGUGAGGAAGGAGACAUUUUCUUUCAAGAACAAGACUACACAAAUCCCAGAGCAAUCCCGACAUGAACCAAGGAAGAGGACCAACAGGAGGAACAGGAACAAGCAAGUGUGGACCGAGUCAGCUAAGAUGGUCACUGCAGUUCAAGGAGGUCAAGAUCAUCGACUUAAGUCACCGUUUCUAACCAAGAAGGAGGACCCAGGAAUGCCAAGCAUAUAUUGCUCCAUAAAUGGAUACAACUUCUACAAGACAACUUGCAACACUGGAUCGGGCGGCAACAUAAUGGCUGCAGUCACCUAUCGGCUCUUGUUCGGAACCAUGCCCUUAAAACCAAUAUACAUUCAGCUCCAGAUGGCAGAUCAGACAUUUCGAGAGGUUGAAGGUAUAGUAAUGGAUGUCCCUGUCAAAAUAGACAAUCAUUUUGUCUAUACAGACUUUCAGGUUAUUGACAUGGGAGAAGACGAAUACGAUCCACCCAUCAUCCUUGGAAGACCGUUCCUCAGCACCGUUAAAGAAAUAAUCUACAUUGGAACUGGAGAAGUCCAUAUGCACUUCCACUCAGAGAAGGUACGCCGCUAUUUUACUGACCCUAAUUAUAUCGUUGAAGACUCUAAGCAGGUUAGGACAGGAAGAAGAUGACGCAACCGCAACCAGAGGAGGCAGAUUAUCAAGGACGGAUGGACAAAUUAUGAAGGAGAAGUGGUAAGGUCUGAAGACAUACAGCUUGAACAGAAUUAUUCUGAGGAGACCGUAGCACCAAGUCAGGUGUGGAGAGAGAAGAUAACUAUACACGAAGAAGAGGCGCCGCCGGAAGCACCGACUACGCCACCCAACGAAUCCCAGGACAACUAGAAAACAGAGAGUCCCGUUCAGUGGACUUAAAAACACCGAACGCCUAGCCAAGAGGUAAACUUGGUAGUUAUCCUUUCCCUUUCAACUAUUUUAAACAGUUUGCUUAGUUAAUCAUGUUCAUACCAUCCUAAAAAGUAAAUAAAAAUGCUAAAAAACAGUAAGUCCCAUGUGAGUAUACGAGUGGCAUGAAACCCAUAAGGACAUUCACUGUGGUGGCAUAAAAAUAAAAUAAAUAUUUUUUCUGCUCUAUGAAAUGAAAAUAUAAAAAUAGAGAGUAACAUUUAUUGAGGAGGCUCAACAUGAUAAAGGCUAGAUAUUUAUGCUAACACUUAAUCAGUUCCACAAAGCUUUGUUGUCUAUUUGAGCUCCAUAGAAUUUAAGAAUCAAGAAGACUAGCAGACGGUGGACAUCCUAAUCACUGUCAAGGUACUGCCGACUUUCAAAUACACCUCUGCCACCUGCUAGCUACAUCAGAAGAAAUUACGUCAAAAUUCAGCUUGGGGGAGAGCACCCCCAUUUAUCCAGCUAAGUAUUUCUAUCUAUCUUUAUACUUAUACUAUUUUAAAAUAUAACUAUACAUAACUAUGAAAAACCAAAUAAAGAUUUUGUGCUUAUAUAUAUAUAUAUACAUAUAUCUUUUGCUUAGUGUGCUGAAUAAAUAAAUAAAGUGGCUAUGCUAAACUGAAUCUAAAUAAAACUCUAGCAUGGAUAUGUUGAAUAGUUGCUCUGCCUAAUUUUUAAAAUUUGAAGUUCUCUCUCAAGUUUAGACAUAACUGUUAUAAUUUAAAGUUUGCUCUAAACCUGAACUUGUGGGAAGAGAACUUAAUCUGAAGUCUAAGUUGUUAACGGAUAUGAUACGGGAAGGUUGAGCUGCUAUUUAUCUGUUCGUAGAGAUGCUAGAAUUCUGGAGAACGUUGUAUUUGAAAAUCUUUAAAAUAAUACAUGAUGAGUUCCUGUAUGAUGAGAGUUUAAAUUCCUACCACAGCCAUAUAUACAUGCUUGCUAGACUUUGAGCCACACAUUUACUUUUUUACUGCUUAUGAGCAUUGAGUGUGGUCAAGCUGUGUAGACCCUUAGGAGCUUGUGAUGUGGUUAAAUCAAGAUUCACUUGCACGUUCACUCACACAUGCUGCUUCUACUCCGGAAGUACGCAUCCACAUAUAUCCACCCAUUUCCAUCUCCAGAACCACCCAAAAAUAUUCUACUCCUAAUCCGGGAGAGAACGGCCAAAAAUAUAUCUGUUUUCCCUUGUAAAAUAAAUGCUCAAGUUAUCUUCGUUACUACCACUUGCUAUAUUAUUUCAGGAGAUGAGUGUUCUAAAAAAAAGAAGAUAUGAGGAAAUAAAAAUAGGCAAGUGCCCGGAACCUCGAAAGAAAAGAAAAGGUGAGACGAGAGGUAAAAAUGGACAAGUGUCCGAUAGUAGAAUUAGGGGUACAAGAUACCCACCUGAGAGGAAAGAAAAAGAAAAAUAUAGAGUAUCUCAUUCUCCUCAAAAAGUUUCAAAGAGCAAGGAAGGUAUGUAUCCCCUCAAAGAGCAAAAGUAGAAUUAGACUUUCACCAUUGCUAUCACCAUCAUCACCAUACGCCAUUCAUUCGCCACACAUGCAUAUCUUGAUUUGACUUAUUGAUUUGUUUCUUUGGAUCCGUGGUUUGACUAUACAAUAAAUGUCCUGUGAGUAUGUAUACUUUAUCUCCCACCUAUGAGCUCUAGAUAUUAAAGCCUUAUUAGAGUAGGGUGAGAGAGAAGGCAAUGUCACUAUGCUUUAUACCACAAAUACUACAUAUUUUGAGUGAAGGCAUAUACCAUCACUACCUUGGUAAGGAUCCAGAAAUACCACAAAAGAAGUCAUACAAGGAAUCUCUGAGUUUUAUUUGAAAAUCUACAAAAACUCCAGAGCUAUAGUUGAUCAAGAAUAAGAGAUAUGGCACUUGACUAGCACUACAAGAAACAUUGUAAUCUAUGACGAAUUCUUUGUGACGAAUUUAGAGAACGUCGCUAACAAUACAGACUCGCGUAUAUCAUGGUGGAUAUCCAACCCAUAGCCCAGUUCAGACUCGCGUAUAUAAUGCAGCUCCAAAACCUAAUCCCACCCCUUCUCGGUACUUCUGUCACCAGCCGCCGCCCCACACCAAACCAUCCCAGCUGCUGACCACACGCAUCCCACAUGGUUCAGUGGCCGCCUCCACCCCACCCCAUUGGAGCACGCCGAGUUGCCAAGUCCAGCGCAUGCAUGUAGAGGACGACGGUGGCAGCACCCAAACCUAGUUGUCGCCCUGACGAUUGAGCCAUUCGGGAAGCUAUCUGCGCCUGCAUCCAGAUCUGGCGUCCUCGCGCUGCCACCGCUACCUACUAUCCCCGACGUGGAUUGGAGAUCCUGCUAGGGCCUAAUUGCUCCUCCUCCUUCCCUGGUAAGAAAGCCUUUGCUUUGUUUGGCCGUGAUGCUGGAUUACUUGCUUUGUCCUGGAAGAAGAAUCCAAUCCGUCCAGAUAGUUGCAGUGUGGAAUCCUGUGCUAUGUGCGUCCGUAGUUUUUGAAGUUUUUAGAGCCCUAUGUGCCUUUAGCUUUGGAUCCAUUGCAGGCAGCCCCAAUCUAUCGUGGAUGUCACGGAUCUGCAAUGUUCUGAAUUUUCUAGGAUCCAGUGCAACUCCAAUCCAUCAUGGAUGUGCAGGAUCUGAAUUUUUCUUGAUAGUAACUAGUAUGAGCAAAUUUGUAUCCAAUGAAAUCGUUCUCUAGCUGAUAAAUGACACUUGGACAUCAGGACUUAUUUUUAGAUAGCUUGUUCUACUUUCUGUGCUCAUUUUUUCCUUGCAAACACUUGAUAAAUAUAUCCCAUGGCUAAAUGAGUUGCCUGCAGUGACUCGAUAUCUCCAAUUUGGUGGAUGUAAGUUUCUGUUGGUUUGCAGGAGCACUGGAUGAACAUGCUUUCUGCGUUCUCUAAUUGGCAGCACAUUAACUGAAUGAAGGGUUUGUGCAGAUUAUUCAUUGGACUCUGCUCCACUCUGGUACUAAUAAUUUCGACUAUUGCUCAUACUAUUUGCCAUGGUCAUCUUUCCAUUCUUUAUGCUAUAGUGCUAAUCUACAAUUAGCCUAUACAAAAAAUAAAGCAUCCUUUCACUAGAAUUUUUCUAGAUAAAUGCAAGUGCUUUUUGAUUAAUAGUAUCUAGUUAUUGAGCUCCUUUGGUGGACUGUUUGUCUGUUGAUUAUUUUGUAGGAUACAAUACUAUGGUCCAUUGAUUAUUAUUUUCUAGGAUACAGUACUAUGGUCCAUUGAUUAUUAGUAAGUCCUGUUUAUUUCUAGAAUUCACUUAUUGAUUAAGUUGCCUCUAUGUAACGGACUUUCAUCUUUUUGGAUAAUUCUCUCUUUUAAGUCUUGUUUUUUCUAGCAUGACAAGGCAAUUGUGCCAAACCAACUCGAAAUAACAGCUACAAGGUUGGAGGGGACCGAAUUGUUGCUAGGAUGGAGGAGACAAAACAGUUACAUGGUUGGAGGCGAUAAAUAUGUCGAUAUGGUUGUAUGAAUAUUAUUAGUUGUAUAAAUUGCUACAUGGAUGGCGAUAAAUAUGUCGAUAUUGGUUGUAUGAAUAUUAUUAGUUGUAUAAAUUAGUAUUGUUUUAAAUCUCUUUGUCAUCUAUGUGUAAAUAGGCGUACUUUUUGUAUAUAUAAACAUAUUUGACUAAAUGGUUUGUAAAUAUGAUUUGAUCUAUUUGGGAAUGCCAAAAAAUAUCAGCAUAUUUAUAUUGACCAUUGGCCCAUUAAUAAAUGGGAUAUGAUUCAUAAAAAAAAGGCCGAAAUGGUGUUGUAAGCAUCCACGUCAUUGUCCACAUAAGCAUUCAUGAUGACAUGUCAAUUCAUCCAUGACGGUUAUUUUUUGUCACAGAAAAUGGACUUGGGUUGGGCUAACUGGGCUUUGGGCUCAACUGUGACGGUCUUAAACCGUCAUAGAUUACAUCAAUCUGUGACGAUUUUUGAAAAACCGUCAUGAGGGUCAAUCCAUGACGAUAUUAAAAACCGUCAUAGAUAUUGAAUUGUGACGGUUUUUUAGCGAUCUAUGACGAAAAUUUUCCGUCAUGAAUUAACAUGAUUCUUGUAGUGUAGACUGUUCUAUCUUUUAACUACUCAAGACAGAAGUGACGGUUACAAGUCCCAUGGUAAAAGGUAAAAUAAGUACGUUUUAAGUCUUGAUAGUUUACUCUAACUCAGAAAUGAGACCUCAUUUAAAAGCAUGUGUACCGUCAAUUUUUGAAGGUGUUAUAGCAACUUCUGAUCCAUCACUGAGAUUAUCCUUUCUUAGGGACGAGCAAGAGGUAAGAUUGGGGGAGUUUGUUGAUGGUCCUUAAGUAUCAAAUUUAAUUAACAAAUAAGCAAAGAAAAGGAUCUAAAUGCAACCUACAUCCUGACUUAGGGUUUUAUCUGACAGAAUUCCACGAGUUUUGGUGUUUGUCUAUUUCUAUAGGGGGUUAUCAGGAAAUACGGAAGAAAGGCCCACACGUCGGGUUUACAUAGAGAUAUCAACGUGCCGCGCAAUUAUCUUACAUCUAGAAGAGUCCAAAAGCCACGGGAACGAACAGGAGACCGGACGGGCUCGGGGGCGGGGCGCCCGCCCUCCCCCCUAGGGCGCCCGCCAUGGCUUUUCCACCAAUCAUGGCCAAUCUCACAGAUCAUGCUCCACCAACCUAAAGGAACAAGGAUAAUCGUUCAAUCAACGUCGGUUUGAUCCUACGUCCCAUAUUCACUUGGAAGGACUAUAUAACCAGACCCCCUAGCCCAAGGAGGAGAGCACCUCUCAACCCUAAUUCAUUAUUCAUCAGGGAGAAGAAGUCUCUGAUCAAGCCCUAGAGCCACCACAUCAAUUAGAUCUCUAGAUUAGCAUAACUACAUAGGAUUAGAACUAGAAGGAGUCAAUCUUCGAUUGGUUUCCAGAUCUAUCAGGAGGAUUCUUGGUAAUUCUCUAUUGUUCUUCAAUUGUUCAUCUUUGUUCUUCAAUAUUAUGAAUAUGACUUUGUUCUACUUCAAUAUAUUGAUUAUGACUUUGCUCUACUUGUUUAUAUUCACAAUUAUAUUGUUCUUAGUUUAUCAUAGUUAUAUACUUGGCUUAGUUAGAUUGGAAUUAUAUACAUGUUUAGGAUCGUAUAGCGUUUAUCCAUCGGAUCUAUGGGUAAAUGAUAGAUAUUGUGUAGGCGUGGUGCUUAUACCGUAUUUAUCUGCGAUUGUACCCAAUAUGCCAGAUCGUGGGGUAGUUCGUGAUAGUGACAGCUUCAUUGAUUCUUAUAUAGUCCCCCUCUCGUGUAUUGGGCUGGCAGAGCAAUAUUAUUACAGGGGAGUGAUUACUAUGUUUCUCAUUUACCUUGCUAAUAUCACUAUGCAUGGGUGUAGUCUUGUCUCGCAAUGAUUGCUAAGUAUGCUUGCACUAAUUAUGAUAAUGGUAGACUAUAUAGUUGAGAAUAACUUAGGGAAUAUUCUUGUAGUUCGUUCUAAUACCAUGCUAAUGACUUUCUAGAGUAUCUAAUUAAGGUGCUUAUCAUAUUUAUUAUGUGGCUAGAUCAGAUUAAUUAUCCUUGUCACUAUUUAUUAUUUCAUAUAUCUUUUAUGUGACACUUAUCCCUGUAUGAAGAGUUAGAUAAAUGUUCUCAAUUAUACAUGCAAUGAUAGAUACUCAAUCUCAUAUUCUAUUCUAUUAUCAAUAUUGAUGAUUGUUAAUCCCUUUCCAGUGGUAAAAAUAUAAAUAACGAUACCUGGAAUACUUCUCGGUUAAAAUGCUGCAUCGGUAUUAAUCUGUGUGCUUGCAGAUCCCAUUCAUUAUUUAUUUAGAAGAGCAAUUGCAUAUUUCAAUACCGCGUCUCUCAUAUCAUGCUGGGGAUGACAACUUGGCUUAAGUGGUGUGAGGGAUAGGUUUGACAUUUUUGGCACCGUUACUAGAUUUAGAGAACUUAGUCUACUUUUGGUAAUGAUGUUAAGAAUACCCAACAAGCAUUUUUGGCGCCGUUGCCAGGGAAGGUUGAUUACUAAUCAGGAAUGGAAUAAAAGAUUUUGAGUUAUCAUUCGCACCACUAAUAUGAUUGAGCUUAUCUAUUCUCUCAUACAGUUUUACCCCGAUAUUUUUCUAUUUUAUCUUAUGCAGGGGAAUGUAUGAAUAAAAGACAUCUUCCAGGAAAUUUUGUUGACAAUUCCGAAGCAUUAUUUAAGAAGACGAGAGCCAAGCUCAAGAAGAGAUCAUCAACACUUCAGCAAGAAGCUUCAUCCAAUCAAGAAGAUCACAGGAACAUGUCUUCAGACUUCGAGGCCAUGGCGAACAAAUCAAUCCGCGAGUUCUCAGCUCCCACUACGGACAACAUCCGCAAUGGACCUUGUCGACGAAAGCUAGUCGGCAGUCUACCUUGGGGUAUACCCACGGUAGUAGUUUAUCGGUAGACGGUGCGCAAACUAGGAACUCGAUGGUGACGCAAGACACGGACAAGCUUUUUAUCCAGGUUCGGCCGCCGAGUUGGCGUAAUACCUACGUCCUGCGUCUUGUUGUAUUGGAUUGUGUUGAGAUAAUGUGUUCUAGGGGGGUCCCUUGCCCCUCCUUAUAUAGUCCGGAGGGCAGGGUUACAGAUCUGGAAACUAAUCCUAGUCGGUUACAAUUGCCAUGGAUAGUUCGAUAUCAAUUCCUAUUCUAACCGACUAGAAUCCUGCUUGAUCUCCACGUCUUGUUUCCUUGCGCGAAACUCCAGACAGUCGGAUCAAGCCUCGAGCUGUCCUCGUGAUGGGCCAAGCCUCCUGGCCCAAGUCUAGCCGUAAGGGUAUAGGGGUUUAUACCCCCACAGCUAGUCCCCGAGCACCAUGUAUUGUGAAGUAACACGCCGUCUUGAGCUUCUUCGACCAAUGAAACUUUAUAUCUUUAGUCAUUAUGAAAAUUGCCCAAAUAGUUGCGACAACAGUUUGAACAAAUCUAAAAGCAUCCAAUUAACUUCGUCAUCGAAGAAGCCAAUUGUUCAAAGAAUGCAUGGUGCUCUUGAGAAAAAAUAUUCCUUUUUUGGUGAAGUGUGCCCACUUUACUUUUCGAAAAGUAUAGUCCAUCAAAAAGACAAGCAAGUUCACCGCAAGGUGAAGUGUGCCCACUUAGUCCCCGAGCCUGGUAGGAGGUGACGUAGUCACGUGGUGCCAGGGUCCAAAGAAGAAUCUCCAAAGCUGCUUUGAAUGUGAGAUGCAUCGCUAGAUGCAUCGUACCGAUGUAGUCCCCGAGCUUGCUGGAAGGCGAAGUAUGAGCCUUGUAGCAAGGUCUAAAAAACCGAAAUUAUCCAGUCCCCGAGCAUCUCAUGCUCGUUUACCAUAGAGUUUGCAGUUCGUCGAGCUGGUCAACCAGUCCGCGGGUGUACAACGGUCGGCAAACAGUUCAGCUUGCUAAUUUCCAAAGCAAUAAACUAAGCGACCAGUCCCCGAGCAUUAAGCGCUCGGUGGUCGGAGCAGUCUAAACAAAUCUGACGACCAGUAUCCGAGCACCAAAUGCUCGUUGGUCAGUGCGCUCCUUGAAGUUCUGAGUUGCUUCACUGGACGACCAGUCCCCGAGCAUCGAGUGCUCGGUGGUCGGUGCAGUCGUUGAAUUUCCGGGUUAAUAGACUGGGCGACCAGUCCCCGAGCAUCAAGUGCUCGGUGGUCGGUGCAGUCGCUGAAUUUCCGAGUUAAUGGACUGGGCGACCAGUCCCCGAGCAUCAAGUGCUCGGUGGUCGGUGCAGUCCCCGGAUUGUUGACUCUCUGCCAUUUUUGUCUGCUUGUUUUGAAAAAAUUUCUCUAGAAAAAAGUUGACGUGACGAGACCUCCUGACGGGAUGUCAGAUGGAUGCAUGAAAAGUUGCGCCUGGCAACUGUACAGCCGCCCUUUGCGCGGUUUGAGAAAAGGAAACCAUCAAUUUGUACGAAAACUCCGCCGCAUUAAUUGUCGAUAAUCAUUGGAAACCGAAAUGCCGCAUCCACCGUAUGGCCCGCCCACUUCCCGAGAAUGCGGGAAGUGGGAAGGGUGAAGUUGUGGGUUAUAAGAGCUCGACAGUUCCCCUUGUACUGCUUACCCUGCCAUUGCCUUCAAGCCCUCCACUCUUGCCUCCUUCAAUCACCUACACCUUCCAAACUCGAAUCCACUUCCUCACCUCCAAUGGCGAAGAGCGACUCGAAGAAGAGGGCCGAGCUGAUGGCCAAGGAGUGGAAGAAAUCCCGCAGCACCGCAAAGUCCCUCGGUGACCUCGUCAAUAUGGGGCUACUGCACAGCCCGGAGCUCGGCGGCUGGAGGGGCACCGGAGGGGGAGAGCUACCCCGACCCCCGCGCCGGUGAGAUCGUGUUUGAGGAUUUCCUUAAGAGGGGUUUUGGGGUGCCUGUUCACCCUUUUCUUCAGGGUCUUCUUUUGUAUUAUGAGAUCGGGAUUUGCAAUCUGCACCCGAACUCAAUCCUUCUUGUUUCUACUUUUAUCCAUUUGUGCAAGGCCUAUGUAGGCAUAGAACCGCACUUCGAUCUCUUUCGCUAUCUUUUUUGUUUGAGAAAGAAGGGAGCAGUUGGAGGCUCUAAGGUUGCAGGUGGAGUAUACCUCAACCUUCGCGACGGAAUGAAGAACCGCUAUCUGCACUGCCCCUGGAACACUUCCCUGACUGAGUGGUACAGGAAGUGGUUCUACAUCAGGAAAGAACCGGGCAGCUCCACGUUCUGCGACGUGGGCUACAUCCCCGAGAAGAGGGUGAGCUGGACCGAUCGCCCGGAGUUCGACGGUCAGGUGGCAGACCUAAUGAAGCUGAUCGACUGGUCGCGCCUGGACGGGCUAGGCGUGGUCGGCAACUUUGUGUGCCGUCGGGUGACGUCCUGCCAGAAGAGGGUCCACUCGGCGUACGAGUAUGCCGGAAGCGUGGACCCGACCAGGAUGCGACCCGAGAUCUUGGAGAAGGUGGAGGUACAGCAGCUGUUGAACGAGCUAUUCAACUUCGCGGACGGAGGCUUCAUCCGUGGUAGUGAUCGGGUGCAAGCAUUCAAGUUGGGGCGACCAGCACCUAAGGUAUGUUACUGAUUAUUUUGCUUUAGCAUUCGUAUAUUGUCUGCAGCUGACUUAUCGUUGUUACUUUUGCAGAUCGGAGAUGUUGACCGGUGCACAGUGUACGUAUCACUGGCACCUGGAAUGGAGAAUCCUGCGGGAGAAGAUCCGCGGGAGGAAGACGCUGCUCGGUGUACUCAUUACACCAGCAGUGAGGAGGACCAGGCCCGCCCCGCCCCGACCACCGAGGAUAGAGUGGCGGGGAAAAGGCCAAUGGCGGCGGAUCCGUCGCCGGCGCUGACGCUGCCGGCAGAGAGCAGCCGAGCGCCAAAGCGCCGUCGGUUCGUUCGGAUUACCGACGACGACGACGAGGAGGAGGAGGCCGCACCGUCGUUGGUCCGAAGGCCUCAUAGCCGUCCGGACAGCGUGCCGACCACUGCUGAUCGGGUAUCCAGCGACCCUCCUGCGCCUCGCGUCACGGAGACGGGGGCACAGGUGCCGACUGGCCGGGCAAGGAGGAGGUUCACCGCGACCCACUGUCGAUCGGACCUGUAAGUGUUCAACUUUCGUAUUUUUUUUAGCUGUUGUUGAAAAUAUCGCUCUGUUAUGUAGCGCGGCGUCGGACGUCAACCCCGACCAGGCCGCAGAGCAGGGGGCGGCCGCUCCUGUUGCCGCCGUUGAGGACGCCGCGCCACAGGUCACUGAGCAACCUGCAGCGGCGGCGGGCGCUGAGGAUCAAUCUGCCCCGGCGAGUGCCGAAGAGGGCACUCAGCCGAGGGUUGAGGAGGCAGCAAGGAACCCUCCCCCGAGUACUGUUGCAGAGGGGGAGAGCAGAGUCCCGACUCCUCCAGCCGAAGAAGGGAGGGUGCCGUCACCGCCCCGAGCAGGGGCUUCUUCGCCCGUGGGCUCCCCUGGCCUAAACCAGGGACCAGUGAUGCCCUCAACCGCAGCCGGAGGCAGUGCGGCAAACGAGGAGCCCCAGGAGGCCUCUGACGACAACGUGGAGGUCCAGGGUCGUCCCCGGGAUGGCCGCCAGCACGUCUACGUGUGGCGCCAACGCGGGGACCACUUUAUUGGACACGAGGAGCUCGCGGAGACGGAGGAGGCCGCGAGGGUGGAGCGCGCGGCUAAGCGCCUCGUGGACGAGGUUAAGGUAGGUGGUCCUGUGUGCUCUUGGUAUAACUUUGUGCAAUUUUCCUGUGUUCGACAUUUGUCCUUUCUUGCAGGGUGCGAUGAAAACGGCGAAGUACCGGAAACGGUGCUUUGACCAGAUCGAAGGAAUUGUGGCCGAGAACAAGGCCCUGGCCGCGGAGGUGGAUCGGCUUCGGUCAGAAGUUGGAGAAAAAGUAUCCGAGAUGAGCGCUCAGGAAGAGCACCAUCUCGAGCUUACCCGACGCUUGGCCGAUCAGUUUCGGCAGCGAGAAGGUUAGUCUCGCACUCCGAGGCAGCUGCUUGUAGCUGCGUUGGUUAACUCCGCUGACCAGAGGACUAUUCAUGUAGGUUUGGAGGGGGAGGUCGCACGCCUUCGUCAGGAGAAAGAGCAGCUCAGCCAAGAGCUUGCCAGUGCGCUGGAGGCAGGGCGCCGAGCAGGAGAGGAGUUGGGUCGGAGGGACCAGGAGUUGUCUGGUAAUACGCGCCGCCCCGUUAUCUGCCACUGAUCGCUCUUUUCGAUAUGUUGAAAAUAACAUCUUGCUUGAUUUGCAGUGCUCAAGGUGAACGCCAAGAAGCACUUGGACGAGCUGGUCAAGGACCGGGACUCCUGGAAGGUCAAUUGUUGUAAGAUCUGGAAAGGAGUAUCCCCUGUUCUAGACUUGAUCAGCCCCGAGCUGCCGGAGAGCCAGCCCCGCGCGCCGAGAUUGACUCCAGUUGAAAAGGCGCAACAGGCGUGGGACUGGCUCCAGCAAUUCGUGAAGGACGCCGGGGAGUUUGCUGGCGCGCAUGUCCUUAGCAUGGUGCGCGCCCACUACCCCCUGGUCGACUUGACCAGGCUGGAGAAGGGGUAUCCCAAGGAGGUCGGCCCGCAGGAGGCGAACGAACUUUGGGGUGGUCUGCUGGAUUUGUCGUCGACGGUGAUCGGCGACAUCAAUCUAUGCGGAACGGCCACUCCCCCCGACCAGCCGGGUGCAGACAGGUCGGCCAGGGAGCUGUCGGGCACGUCCAUUGCGGGAGAUGGGCGGUCGACGCCUGCGGUCUUGACCAGCCAGGCGCCGGUGGCCCCGACUCCUUCGUCCGGGCAGCAAGGCCAGGCGGGUGAUCAGCCCGAGCAGUAGGCCAGUAGGAUAGUCUGUAGGAGUAGACUAGUGUCUGCCCGUCAGGGUGUUUAUUGUAAACUUUGUAUGUAAAGUUUGUAAUAAAGUUUGCUUUUGUCGUGACUACUAUUUUGAGCGCUGUGGAGUUAUCUGAGUGACGUGCCACUGUAUUUGACUUUGUAGUCGCUAAGAGCUUCCGUUGUAGAAGGCUUUCCGAGUUCUGCGUGUAACAAAGUGUAGGCAAAAAAGAGAAACUUUUAUUAUUGACAGCUAUAAGAUAUUUACAAGCGAAAGUGACUAGAGCUUAUGGGUAAAAUCGGCGCAGUUUGUCUAUGUGCCAAGAGUUAGGCACGCGUGUUCCGUCUGGGUAUGCCAAUCUGUAGGAUGUGGGUCGUGUGACUUCGGCGACCACGAAGGGUCCUUCCCAGGGAGUGGAUAGCUUGUGCAUUCCCUCUUGGCUUGUUUUCCACCUAAGUACCAGAUCGCCGACCACGAAGGAACGGUCCUUGACGUUCCUGUUGUGGUACCGCCUGACUGCCGCGAGAUACUUUGCUGUUCGGAGACAAGAAUUCAAACGCUUUUCUUCCAUGCAGUUGAUUUCAAGCUCUCUGGCGUUGUCGGCUGUUGACUGGUCGAAGUUUUCAAUCCUAGGGGAACCGAAGGUUAUGUCAGACGGCAGGACUGCCUCGGUGCCGUAAACCAUGAAAUAGGGUGACACUCCUGUUUUCCGACUAGUCUGAGUUCGGAGGCCCCAGACCACGGCCGGUAACUAUUUCAUCCAUCGACCGGGUGCUCUGUCGUUCUCGGUGUACAGCCUUUUCUUUAGGGCGUCAAUGAUCAUUCCGUUCGCGCGCUCAACUUGACCAUUGGCCCGUGGGUGAGCUACUGACACGUAUUUUAUGACAAUGCCCCUGUCAUCACAGAAGUCCCAAAAUGUGGUGCCAGUAAACUGAGUACCCAGGUCAGUAAUUAUACUGUUUGGAAUCCCGAAUCUAUGUAUGAUUUGAUUAAGGAACUCCACAGCCUUCUCGGAGGUUGCUUUGACCAGUGGCAUGUAUUCAAUCCACUUGGAGAACUUGUCGAUUAACACGAAAACGAACUUGAAGUUGCCAGGGGCCGGUUUAAAUGGCCCGAUCAUGUCGAGCCCCCAGCAGGCAAAGGGCCAGGAUGACGGGAUGGUUUGAAUCUCAUGAGCAGGUACGUGGGUCCUUUUAGCGAAGAACUGACAUCCCUCGCAGUGUCGGACCAGUUUUUCUGUGUCGUUAACCACGGUUGGCCAAUAAAAACCUGCUCGGAAGGCUUUCCCGACCAGCGUUCUGGAUGCGGCGUGAUUGCCGCAGGAUCCGGCGUGUAUGUCCUCUAGGAGCUUGAUGCCAUCAUCUUGGGAUAUGUAUUUGAGCAGUACUUUAGAACUUGCAUUUUUCCGCAUAAGUUUGCCGUCCACCAGUAAGUAAUUCUUUGAUCGUCGAAUGAGGCGCUCAUUCUCUGUUUUGUCCUGAAAGCCAGACUCGUCCGAUAUAUAUCUUAUGAAUGGGGUGCGCCAAUCACGGCCACUGGUUGUCGGAGUGGCAUCGUCUAUGAGCAUUGCCUCAGUGAGUUGCUUUUCGACCAGGCCUGUGCCCACACUUGGCUCCUGGAUGUCCUGGACGAAAAUGCCCCACGGGAUCUGGGCCCGAGAUGACCCUAACUUUGACAACGCAUCUGCUGCCUGGUUCUUAUCCCGGACCACGUGGAUGUACUCUAUGCCAUAGAAGUUGGUUUCCCAUUUGCGAAUUUCUUUGCAGUAGAGAUCCAUCUUCUCGUGGGUUGCGUCCCACUCCUUGUUGAGCUGAUUGAUAACUAAAGCAGAGUCGCCAUAGACAUAGAGGCGUUUGACUCCCAGCUCAACGGCUAGCCUUAUGCCGUGUAGGCACGCUUUGUAUUCGGCGACAUUGUUUGAUGCCGGAAAGAGGAUCCUAAGGACGUAACGCAGUUUGUCCUUGUUAGGCGAUACAAACAGUAUCCCAGCGCCGGCGCCGUUGAUGUUCAAGGAUCCGUCAAAGAACAUUGACCAGUGGUCGGAGACGUCGGGAACGGGAGGCUCGUUGAGAUCCGUCCAUUCAGCAAUGAAAUCGACCAAGGCCUGAGACUUGACUGGGGUUCGGCUCUGGAAUUCCAGGGAAAAUGGGCAUAAUUCCAUCGCCCAUUUUACGAUUCUGCCGUUGGCAUCUUUAUUGCGCAGAAUGUCCCCAAGUGGGAAACUGGUGGUGACCAAGACUCGAUGGCCAUCGAAGUAGUGCUUCAGCUUUCUUGACGUUAUUAGAAUGGCGUAUAUGAGCUUCUGUAUUUGUGGGUACCUGGCCUUGGACUCAUUUAGGACUUCGCUUAUGAAGUAAACGGGUCUCUGGACCUUGUAGACAUGACCUGGCUCGUCUCGUUCGACCACUAUUGCCGUGGAAACAACCCUGUCGGUUGCAGCAAUGUAAAGGAGUAGGUCUUCAUUGGGCUGAGGCGCUGUAAGAACAGGCGGUGAAGUGAGGAAAGUCUUAAGCUGAGUGAACGCGGCGUCGGCUUCCUUUGUCCAAGAAAACUUUCCCGACGCCUUCAAGAGUUUGAAGAAAGGGAGGCCUUUUUCUCCUAGUCUUGAGAUGAAGCGACUAAGAGCGGCCAUACAUCCGGUGAGCUUCUGAAUAUCCUUGACGUUUUUAGGUGGUCGCAUGUCGAGUACUGCUUUUACUUUUGAAGGAUUUGGCCGUAUGCCGUCGUGACUGACAACGUUGCCGAGCAGUAGACCAGAAGGAACACCGAAGAUGCACUUUUUGGGAUUAAGCUUCCACUUGUACCUAUUAAGCGCCUUAAAAGUUCGGUCUAAGUUGUCAAUUAGGGUGUUUGCAUCCCUUGUUUUGACGACGACGUCGUCUACAUAGGCUUCGACGAGGUCAUCACGAAUCUCGUCGUGGAGGCAUUGCUGUAUGGCCCGUUGAUAAGUGGCUCCGGCAUUUUUGAGUCUGAAUGACAUAGUCGUGUAGCAAUAUGCACCGAAAGGAGUAAUGAAAGACGUUUUUAUCUGAUCUUCUUCCUUUAGCGAGAUCUGGUGAUAGCCAGAGUAGUAGUCUAGAAAAGAGAGGAGUUCGCAUCCGGCCGUUGAGUCGACCACCUCGUCGAUGCGAGAGAGACCAAAAGGAUCUUUAGGAUAGUGUUUGUUGAGAUCAGUGUAAUCAACGCACAUUCUCCAUUCAUUAUUCUUUUUGCAUACAAGAACCGGAUUGGCGAGCCAAUCGGGAUGAUACACUUCUUUUAUGAAUCCGGCUGCUAGAAGCCGUGUUAUUUCUAUCCUAAUAGCCUCCUUUUUGUCACGAGCGAACCGUCGCAGCUUUUGCUUGAUGGGUCUUGUGGUCUUCGAGACAUUUAAGGAGUGCUCGAUCAGGUUUCGUGGGACGCCGGGUAUGUCUGCGGGUUUCCAUGCGAAGACGCUUACGUUGUCCCUUAGAAACCUGACGAGCGCGUCUUCCUAUUUAGGGUCCAGGUUGGCCCCGAUGAGGGCCGUCUUCUCGGGGCUGCCUUCGACCAGCUGCACUUCCUUGUGCUCCUUGGAUUUUGAGUUCUUCCUGAAGGUCUCCUGCUCGGGUAGUCGAAGCUGGUCUGGAGGUAGCUGUGCAGCCUGGGUUGCUGUCUCAGCCAUGCAGAUUGAGAGAUCGAUUGCUUCAGUGAUCUUGAAGCUCUCCUCCUCGCAAGUAUAUGUAGUGUAGACAUUGCCCCUGACAGUUAGGACUCCUUUCUCCGUGGGCAUUUUGAGGACCAGGUAUGAGUAAUGCGGGACUGCCAUGAAUUUUGUCAGCGAUGGUCGGCCCAGUAUGGCGUGGUAAGUUCCAUCAAAGUCGGCGACCACAAAGUUGACGAACUCUGUCCGAAAGUGGUCGGGCGUGCCAAAUUGGACAGGCAGUGUUAUUUGUCCGAGGGGCACUGAACUCUGGCCUGGCAAAACUCCCCAGAAUUGAGCAUCGUAGGGUUUUAGUUGUGCCAGUGAUAUCUUGAGGGCGGGCAGGCUGUUGCGGAAAAGGAUGUCAAUGGAACUUCCUCCGUCUACGAGCACGCGCUCGAACCUGAUGUUGUUGAUGCAUGGGUCCAGGAUUAGAGGGAAACGACCUAGCUCUGGGAUAGCAGCCCACUGAUCCUUUCUGCUGAAGGAGAUCUCCCUGUGCGACCACGGGGGAAAUUUCGGGUCGGCGAUCAGGCCGUCUGUGCUGUCUAUGUUGAGGCAGGCUCUCUUUAAGAGCUUUCUUUCUCGCUUGGAUUCGAUGGAGACCUUGCCCCCGAAGAUGGAGUGGACCACGUCAGUGGGGCUGACAUAUUGGUGUUGAGGGUCCCUAUCUUGGUCGUCGUCCUCGUCUUCGGGGUCGUGCCCGUUUCGUUUUCCAUUUUUCUUGGCUGAGUCGUCUUGGGCGGCCCGCCGCGUAUAGAUAUUUUUGAGGACACAGCAUUCUUCCAUGGUAUGAUUAGACUUUGGAUGCAAUUGGCACGGUCCCUUCAACGUUUUGUUGUAGUCUUCUUGGUAGUCCCGCCGCCCGUUGGGACGCUUGACCAUAUUCACUUCGUGGUCGUGGUCGCGGGGGCGCUUUCCUCUGAAAUCAUCGCGAUUGUCGCGUCGCCUGUCCCAACCUUCUCUGUGAUCACGAUUGUCGGGGCGGCGGUGGUUCCUGUUGUCGAGACGACCGCGACCGUCAUCUCGCCGGGGAGGCUGGUCGGGACCUCUCGCAUCGUCCCGGAUUAGUUUUUCUACGACGUCAGCAUCGGCGUAAUUUUUAGCCGUGGCAAGGAGUUCGGCCAUGGUUGUUGGCCUUUUGCGCAACAGCUUGUUCCUCAGUGCUUCAUGUAAGCGCAGGCCUUUAAUGAAGGCAGAGAUGGCCUCGUUGUGGGAAAUCUUCGGGAUCUUAAGGCGCAUAUCCGAGAAUCGCCGGAUGUAAUCGCGCAAAGGUUCAUUUUUUCUGUCCCUUAUCCUUUCGAGGUCGUACUUGUUUCCAGGCUGCUCGCAUGUAGCGAUGAAGUUGCCGAAGAAAUCCUGGCGUAGCUCUUCCCAAGAGUCGAAGGAGUCCUCGGGCAGGCCAAGGAGCCAUUGAUGACCAGCCUGGUCAAGGACUACUGGGAAGUAGUUGGCCAUGACGUGUUCAUCCCCUGCGGCUGAUCGGACGGUGAUUUCAUAGAGAGUGAUCCAGCUCUCUGGGUUUUCCUUGCCGUCGUACUUUUUGAGUUUCUCGAGCUUGAAAUUGCGGGGCCACAUGACCUGGCGGAUGUGUGAGGAGAACUGUCUCAGGCCCGGGGGGUCAUGCGUUGCAUCAUACUUGAUACGGCGCAGGUUUUCGUGGACUGCUCUCUCCGUGGCGCGCCUGUUGAUGCGGUCCCGGGCAUCUUUGGGAGGGAUGUUGUAUCGAAGAUCCCUAUGCUGGUUUACUUCUUGGCCACGCCUGCGAUUCUGCUUGCGUUGACCGCCAGCGUCCCGACCGCCGUCAUUACACCGUGAAUCUGUUCGAUGGUUGUCGGGGGAACGGCUGCGAUGGUGCCUGCUGGGCUGCGGUGAUGUCCGGCUACGGUGAGUCUGGUCGGAGGCGGCCUCUGUAUAGGAGACGGCCUGGACUCUUUUGAGCAGGGUGGCUGUCUGUCCCAUCGCGGCGAUCAGGUGUGCUCGGACACUAGUUCUGACCCCUUGGCAUUCGGGAGUAUCAGGGAGCCGGUCUAGAUUAGCCAUAGCGACAGCCACAUUGGCGCUCGGCGUUUUGUAAACUUGUUGAUCUCCGACCAUGUCAAAAGCGUCGCUGAGAUUCUGCGGCGGGAUUUGACGUUCCUCGUUCGCGCGUUGUUGGGCGCGAUCGGCGUUACGCUGCUCGCGGAGCUGCCUCUGCUCGUCUGUUUCUCCGUCAACAACCGGCUCGUCGGCGCUGACGUUGAAAACGAUGUCUCCUCGCCGGGGUGGGAAGACCGGGAAACGUGGGAAACCCGGAGGGUGUGACGGGAAAUCCAAGUCGUAGUCCUCAUCCUCGGAAUUUAUGACUUCAGUGGGAACGGAACCAGUGCUCGAAUUUGUGCUGGAAGCCUGGCCGUCCCGUAACUCUUGGAUCGUUACCAUGUUGACGUAAUGUCGAGCUGGUCGACCGCUCCCCUUUGGCACCCAACCAGCUUUAUUAAAGAGGGAUCGGACGUGUCUCGAGUAGAGAGAGGCCGAGUUGUUCAGACCGCGAGGGUAGUCUUCCUCCGGGUUGACCUUGAUCUUGACAGAUCGUCCUGAGGGAGUCGAGGUUAUCGCCAGAGACGUUCCCAGCCGUUCGUGUGUAGCGACACGAGUUGGCCGGUGGGAUUUGAAAAAAUCCGUUGAGGCGGCUUGAUCAGGCUGGCGUAAGAUUCCAUCUACAAGCCGGGAAGCUUCAAGUAGCUUGGAAUGGCGCGGUCAAGUGCCCGGAGAAGGUCUGAGCAGUCGAUCUUCUUUCCCUUGUAGAGCGGGGAUGGUGGUCGGGUGCUCGGAGCCGUCACCCGAGUGGUCGGAGCCGACGUGAUCCCAGAUUGGAUCUGGAUUCCUUCCGAAACCGUAGUCGUGAGACCACCGCCGCGCGUCGUCCACGUGAUCUGGCCGACAGUGAACGUGAGGCCUUCAGGAACGGCCGCGGAAGCUGGGAUUGUGACCAUCUUGUUCGCCGGAGAAGUUGCACGCACACCCCCUACCUGGCGCGCCACUGUCGACGAAAGCUAGUCGGCAGUCUACCUUGGGGUAUACCCACGGUAGUAGUUUAUCGGUAGACGGUGCACAAACUACGAACUCGUUGGUGACGCAAGACACGGACAAGCUUUUUAUCCAGGUUCGGCCGCCGAGUUGGCGUAAUACCUACGUCCUACGUCUUGUUGUAUUGGAUUGUGUUGAGAUAAUGUGUUCUAGGGGGUCCCUUGCCCCUCCUUAUAUAGUCCGGAGGGCAGGGUUACAGAUCUAGAAACUAAUCCUAGUCGGUUACAAUUGCCAUAGAUAGUUCGAUAUCAAUUCCUAUUCUAACCGACUAGAAUCCUGCUUGAUCUCCACGUCUUGUUUCCUUGCGCGAAACUCCAGGCAGUCGGAUCAAGCCUCGAGCUGUCCUCGUGAUGGGCCAAGCCUCCUGGCCCAAGUCUAGCCAUAAGGGUAUAGGGGUUUAUACCCCCACAGACCUGCUGCAGAGAUCGAUGGCAACUUUGAGCUCAAGCCUGGACUUAUCAACAUGGUGCAAUCCAACCAGUUCUGUGGGAAGGCACAUGAAGAUGCUAGUGCUCAUCUGCAACACUUCCUGGAGAUUUGCAACACAUUCACCAUAUCAAGAGUUUCCAAAGAUGCUAUACUACUUCGCCUCUUCCCAUUCUCAUUGUUAGGAAGAGCGAAGCAGUGGUUCUACGCUACAAAGGAGAAGAAUACUACGUGGGCACUGUACUCAACAAACUUCCUGGCUAAGUUUUUUCCCAUGGGCAAGACCAAUGCUCUCCGUGGGAAGAUUACAAGUUUUCAGCAACAAAAUGAUGAAUCUGUUCUAGAAGCAUGGGAGCGCUUUCAAGACUACAUCCUAGAAUGUACCCAUCAUGGAAUGGAGAGUUGGCUAUUGAUGCAGACGUUUUAUCAUGGGCUCGGCAACAGUGCCCGAGAGACCAUGGAUGCUGCAGCUGGAGGAGCAUUCUUAUCACUUACUAUAUCACAAGCCACAGCUCUUGUGGAGAAGAUGGCGUCCAAUCAAAGCUGGAAUGAAGAGAGGACCCAGACAUGCAAGAGAGGUGGAGGUAUGCAUCAGCUGAAGGAGGUAGACAUGCUGUCUGCAAAGCUAGACCUACUCAUGAAGAAGCUCGACGAUAGAGCUGGAGAUAAGAAGGAAGUUAUGCACAUCUACGACUCUCACAUGACUUGUGAGGAGUGUGGAGACACUGGACACUCAGGCAACCACUGCCCUGAGAUACUUGAGGAUGUGAACUACAUCAACAACAACUACUACUACUACAACCGUCCUCAACAAAAUCAAGGUUGGAAUCAACAGAGGCCUAACUACUCAGGUAAUUAUCAAGGUAACAAUUCUUACAACAAUACUAAUAAUUUUCCACCUUUGAGAGAGUUAGUGUCUAAUCAAGGAAAGCUAAUGGAUAACCUAUCUAAGAAAUUGGCAUCUAAUGAUAAAAUGCUAGAAAAUAUAAAUAAUAGAAUGGAUAAUUUCGCUACUGCCAUCAAGAAUCAAAUUAGCUUUAAUAAAAUGAUUAAAUCUCAGUUAAAUCAAAUAGCUGCUGUUGUUCCUGCUACUAACCCUGGUAUACCAUCACAACCGGAAGGAUUAGAAUCUGCAAAUCUUGUAGACAUGUUUGAUGUAGGUAAUUGGAGUUACCCCGUCACUGAAUUCUCUACUGACCUUCUGCCGGUCAAGAGAGGCGAUCCAGGACGCCCCGUCAUCCCAAUCUCCAUCGGCAUGGUGGACGUUCCAGAAGCACUCUGCGACUUUGGCUCUAGUGUCAACAUUAUACCCAGGGUACUCUAUGAGAAAUUCUUUACAUAUCCUUUAUUAGAGACAACCAUGUGUUUGCAGUUUGCAGAUCAGACAAUAAGUUUUCCAAAAGGAAUAGUGAAGAACCUUUAUGUCUGAGUUGGUACCUUAUAUGCCCCAGCAGACUUCAUAGUGGUAGAGACCGGUAAUGAUGAGAGGGCACCCAUCAUCUUAGGGAGGCCAUUCUUGAACACCACGGGAGCUAUCAUCUAUGUAUCUACGUCAAAGGGAGGAAGGAGACAUUUUUGUUCAAGAACAAGACUACACAAAUCCCAGAUCAAUCCAGACGUGAAUCAAGGAAGAGGACCAACAGGAGGAACAGGAACAAGCAAGUGUGGACCGAGUCAGCUAAGAUGGUCACUGUAGUUCAUGGAGGCCAAGAUCAACAACUUAAGUCACCGCUUUUGACCAAGAAGGAUGACCCAGGAAUGCCAAGGAUCUAUUGCUCCAUAAAUGGAUAUAACUUCUAUAAGACGACUUGCGACACCGGAUCGGGCGUCAACAUAAUGGCCGCAGUCACCUAUCAGCUCUUGUUCGGAACCAUGCCCCUAAAACCAACAUACAUUCAGCUCCAGAUGGCAGAUCAGACAUUUCAAGAAGUUAAAGUAAUAGUAACUGAUGUCCCAGUCAAAAUAGAUGAUCAUUUUGUCUACACAGACUUUCAAGUUAUUGACAUGGGAGAAGACGAAUACGAUCCACCCAUCAUCCUUGGAAGACCAUUCCUCAGCACCGUUAAAGCAAUUAUCUACAUUGGAACCGGAGAAGUCAAUAUACACUUCCCCUCAGAGAAGGUACGCCGUUAUUUUACUGACCCUAACUAUAGCGUUGAAGAAUCUAAGCAGGUCAGAAAGAGACGCAACCGCAACCAGAGGAGGGAAAUCAUCAAGGACGGAUGGGCAGACUAUGAAGGAGAAGUGGUAAGGUCAGAAGACGUAGAGUUUAAACAGAAUUAUCAAGAGGAGACCAUAGCACCGAGUCAGGUAUGGAAAGAGAAGAUAACUAUACAUGAAGAGGAGGCGCUGCCGGAAGUACUGACUACGCCACCCAACGAACCUCAGGACAAUUGAGAAAACGGAGAGUCCUGUUCGGAGGACUUAAAAACACCGAACGCCUUGCCAAGAGGUAAACUUGGUAGUUAUCCUUUCCCUUUCAAUUAUUUAAAAAUAGUUUACUUAGUUAAUCAUGUUCGUGCUAUCCUAAAAAGAAAAUAAAAAUGUGAAAAACAGUAAGCCCCAUGUGAGUAGACGAGUGGCAUAAAACCCAUAAGUACAUUCACUGUGGUGGCAUAAAAAUAAAGUAAAUAUUUUUCUGCUUUAUAAAACGAAAAUAUAAAAAUAGGGAGUAACAUUUAUUGAGGAGUCUCAACAUGAUAAAGGCUAGAUAUUUAUGCUAACACUUAAUCAGUUCCACAAGCUUUGUUGUCUAUUUGAGCUCCGCAGAAUUUAAGAAUCAAGAAGACUAGCAGACAGAGGACAUUCUAAUCGCUGUCACAAUGCUGCUGACUUUCAAAUACACCUCUGCCACCUGCUAGCUACAUCAAGAGAAAUUACGUCAAAAUUCAGCUUGGGGGAGAGCACCUCCAUUUAUCCCGCUAAGUAUUUCUAUCUAUCUUUAUACUUAUGUUAUAUUCGAAUUUAAAUAUAUAUAACUAUGGAAAAACCAAAUAAAGAUUUCAUGCUUAUAUAUAUAUAUAUAUCUUUUGCUUAGUGUGUUUAAUAAAUAAAUAAAGUGGCUAUGCUAAUAUGUAUCUAAAUAAAACUUAAGCAUGGAUAUGAUGAAUAGUUGCUCUGCUUAAUUUGCACAUUUUAAGUUCUCUCUCAAGUUUAGACAUAACUGUUAUAAUUUAAAUCUUGCUCUAGACCUAAACUUGUGGGAUGAAAAUUUGAUCUGAAGUCUAAGUUGUUAACGGAUACGAUAUGGAAAGGUUGAGCUGCUGUUUAUCUGUUCCUAGAGAUGCUAGAAUUCUGGGAAUUUUAUCUUUAAAAAUCUUUAAAAUAUUGCAUGAUGAGUUCCUGUAUGAUGAGAGUUUAAAUUCUUACCACAGCCAUAUAUACAUGCUUGCUAGACUUUGAGCCACACAUUUACUAUUUACUGCUUAUGAGCAUUGAGUGUGGUCAAGCUGUGUAGACCCUUAGGAGCUUGUCAUGUGGUUAAAUCAAGAUUCACUUGCACGUUCACUCAUAUAUGCUACUUCUACUCCGGAAGUACCAUCCACAUAUAUCCAUCCAUUUCCAUCUCCAGAAUCACCCAAAAUAUUCUACUCCUAAAUCCGGGAGAGAAUAUCCAAAAAUAUUUAUGUUUUUCCCUUGUGAAUUAAAUGCUCCAGUUAUCUUGUUACUACCACUUGCUAUAUUAUCUCAAGAGAUGAGUGCUCUAAAAAAAGAAAAAAAGAUACGAGGAAAUAAAAAGGGGCAAGUGCCCGGAACCUCGAAAGAAAAGAAAAAGUGAGACGAGAGGUAAAAAUGGACAAGUGUCCGACAGUAGAAUUAGGGGUACAAGAUACCCACCUGAGAGAAAAGAAAAAAGAGAAGAGCAUCUCAUUCUCCUCAUAAAGUUUCAAAAAGCAAGGAAGGUAUGUAUCCCCUCAAAGAGCAAAAGUAGAAUUAGACUUUCACCAUUGUUAUCACCAUCAUCACCAUACAUCAUUCAUUCGCCACACAUGCACAUCUUGAUUUGACUUUUUGAUUUGUUUCUUUGGAUCCAUGGUUUGACUAUGCAAUAAAUGUCUUGUAAGUAUGUAUAUUUUAUCUCCCACCUAUGAGCUCCAGAUAUAAAAGCCUUAUAAGAGUAGGGUGAGAGAGAAGGCAAUGUCACUAUGCCUUAUACCACAAAUACUACAUACUUUGAGAGAAGACAUAUACCAUCACUGCCUUGGUAAGGAUCCAGAAAUACCACAAAAGAGAGAUUUGAGAGAAUCAUACAAGGAAUCUCUGAGUUUUAUUUGAAAAUCUGCAAAAACAUCAGAGCUAUAGCUGAUCAAGAAUAAGAGACAUGGCACUUGACUAUUCUAUCUUUUAACUACUCAAGAUAGAAGUGACGGUUACAAGUCCCAUGGUGAAGGUAAAGUAAGUAAGUUUUAAGUCUUGACAGUUUACCCUAACUCAGAGAUAAGAUCUUAUUUAAAAACCAUGUGUACCGUCAAUUUUUAAAGAUAUUGCAACAACUUAUGAUCCAUAGCUGAGUCUAUCCUUGCUCAGGGACGAGCAAGAGGUAAGCUUGGGGGAGUUUGUUGACGGUCCUUAAGUAUCAAAUUUAAUUAUCAAAUAAAUAAAGAAAAGGAUCCAAAAGAAAUCAACAUCUAGACUUAGGGUUUUAUCUGACAGAAUUCCACGAGUUUUGGUGUUUGUCUAUUUCUACAGGGGGUUAUCAGGAAAUACGGAAGAAAGGCCCACAUGUCGGGAUUACAUAGAGAUAUUAACGUGCCGCGCAAUUAUCUUACAUCUAGAAGACUCCAGAAGCCACGAGACCGAAGCGGAGGCGAAACGAGGCCAGAGGUAGGGCGCCCGCCCUGUUCCCCUGGGCGCCCGCCCACCUCUGGAGUCCAAUCAGGACUCUGCUUUGUGGGAGAUCUCCACCGACCUAAAGGAUGAAUCUAAACCAUACAAUCUAUGUCGGUUUGAUCCAACGUCCCAUAUUCACUUGAAGGGACUAUAAAACCAGACCCCCUGGCCCCUGGAGGAGAGAGCCUCUCAACCCUAAUUCAUUGUUCCUCAAGGGAGAAGAAGCCUCUGAUCAAGAUUAGAGCCACCACAUCAAUUAGACAUCUAGAUUAGCAUAGCUACAUAGGAUUAGAACUAGAAGGAGUCAAUCUUCGAUUGGUUUCCGGAUCUGUCAAGAGGAUUCUUGGUAAUUCUCUAAUUGUGCUUCUAAUUGUUCUUCUAAUUAUCUUUGUUCUUCAAUAUUAUGAAUAUGACUUUGUUCUACUUCAAUAUAUUGCUUAUGACUUUGCUCUACUUGCUUAUAUUCAAGAUUAUAUUGUUCUUAGUUUAUCAUAGUUAUGUACUUGGCUUAGUUAGAUUGGAUCUAUAUACAUGCUUAGGAUCGUAUAGCAUUUAUCCAUCGGAUCCAUGGGUAAAUGAUAGAUAUUGUGUAGGCGUGGUGCUUAUACCGUAUUUAUCUGCGAUUGUACCCAAUAUGCCAGAUCGUGGGGUAGUUCGUGAUAGUGACAGCUUCAUUGAUUCUUAUAUAGUCCCCCUCUCGUGUAUUGGGCUGGCAGAGCAAUAUUAUUACAGGGGAGUGAUUGCUAUGUUUCUCAUUUACCUUGCUAAUAUCACUAUGCAUGGGUGUAGUCUUGUCUCGCAAUGAUUGCUAAGUAUGCUUGCACUAAUUAUGAUAAUGCCAGACUAUAUAGUUGAGAAUAACUUAGGGAAUAUUCUUGUAGUUCGUUCUAAUACCAUGCUAAUGACUUUCUAGAGUAUCUAAUUGAGGUGCUUAUCAUAUUUAUUAUGUGGCUAGAUCAGAUUAAUUAUCCUUGUCACUAUUCAUUAUUUCAUAUAUCUUUUAUGUGACACUUAUCCCUGUAUGAAGAGUUAGAUAAAUGUUCUCAAUUAUACAUGCAAUGAUAGAUACUCAAUCUCAUAUUCUAUUCUGUAAUCAAUAUUGAUGAUUGUUAAUCCCUUCCCAGUGGUAAAAAUAUAAAUAACGAUACCUGGAAUACUUCCCGGUUAAAAUGCUGCAUCGGUAUUAAUUUGUGUGCUUGCAGAUCCCAUUCAUUAUUUAUUUAGAAGAGCAAUUGCAUAUUUCAAUACCGCGUCUCUCAUAUCAUGCUGGGGAUGACAACUUGGAUUAAGUGGUGUGAGAGAUAGGUUUGGCAUUUUUGGCACCGUUACUAGAUUUAGAGAACUUAGUCUACUUUUGGUAAUGAUGUUAAGAAUACCCAACAGCCACUUCUUUUACUCCAUGUUCAUAUGCAACAUCUUCCCAAUCCAUUGGUUUUUCCAACAUCACCACAUUCGAGAUCUCCAACCCCCUCAUCCUUUCUAUUUAUAAAAACUUUAAAAGGGUGGUUGUCGAUGCAUAUGUCUAUAUUAAAUAUUGCAGAUCUCGUUGAGUUGAUCUUGAUAUAGGUCAGCGUUGGAGGGGAAACCACUUCGUUGACAUAAAAUUGAUGGUUUCCCAGGGACAAGCUUAGUGUCCUAAAACAAGCACUGAUCAGAUUGUAACAUGAGCUUUUAAUUAUUUGCAACAUUACCUUGUGUGUUGAGCAUAUAAGAAUAAUUGUAAAAAUAUUCCUUCGGGUAUUCUUGUCACUAACCUUUUCAGGAUUGGAGCAAGAAGAUCGGAUGAAUGACAAGCACAAGGUAUGUCCAACCAAUCAUCAUACAACAUUGAAUUAAAUUCAUCCAAACUUGAAUUUUGCAAAAUUCAAGCUUGGGGGAGUGCUUUACAUAAAAACAUAUUUUGCCAUGUUGCUAUGUUGGUUGUCCCUACCUUUGAGACAUGCUCAAUUUGUUAAAUACUAAUCACACUACUUCAUCUCCACUUGAGUAGAUCUCUAUAAAUGCUCUCAUGCUACCUUUAUUUGCUUUAGUAUAUGUCUAGGUUUGGAGUAGUUUCAUUUAUCGCUUAAUUAAACUUGGUGCUUAGUUUAGGAAUGAUUAUCUUACUUCCAAGGGGUUUUAAAUUAAGCAUCGUGCUUAGGUUAAAAAAGCCCUCCUGAAUCAAAUUAGACAUGGUGUCUAGGUUGAUUUUUGAGCCGAUAGUAUGCUAUAGUAGAUAUGGGAUAUUUUGUUGGACUAACCCCUGCAGGAAAACUUUCAAUAUCGACCUGGGAAGUCCUGAGAUAAACUCACAUUGGAGACAAAGAGAGAGACACAUGUAGUUUAACAAUAUACACAAGGAAGGCAUAGCUCACAAGAGAUGAUCCAUGGAGGGUGCCACACACACGAUGCACAACCGCUAAGAGAGGAAAGCUUCCAUAAGGUAAUACUGUACCAUCACUCUUCAAGAAAGGUAACAUCUUAAGGUACUUGAUUAUCACUUCUAUAAGCUUCUCCUUAUUUCUGGCAUUCACAUGAGUAAAAGAGACAAACAUGUAAGAUUUACAACUCUAGAUUAACCAAUCCAAUUAAUUCAGCAUGUUUAGUCCUUUAAUCUUUAUUUAUAGUACUACCUUCGUGAUCCCACACUCCUAAUCAUAUGAACUAAAAUGUUGCACAUGCAAUCUUUGAAAGAUAUAUAUAAAAAAAACAUAAGUAUAGAUAGAUUAUCUUUCCAUUAGGUUGAGUGAUCUGAUCUGACAAAUGUUUUAAAUGCUACACUCAUGAUCUUAUUAUCCAUCAACUUUGUCUUGCUCACUAUGCUGAAGGUUAGAGAGAACAAAUACACUUUUGGUUCUGUUGGUGUUUCCACCAACUGGGCCCAUGCACUUGAUCUCUGCCUUGUCUCUAUGAGCAGGUACACUUCGAGCAAAAUAUGGAGGAGUUUUACAACUCCCAGACUCCACCUAUUGAAGAACCUAGAUCUACGAGCACAAACACACUGGAGAUACUAGACACUCAGGCAAUCACUGCCCUGAGAUGCUUCAGGAUGUAACUACUAGAGCAACCCCAUUGUGGAAGUAAUUACUGACCUUCUAUUGGUCAGGAGAGACAAUCCAGGACGCACCGUCAUCCCGAUCUCCAUCGGCAUGGUGAACUUGCCAGAAGCACUCUGCGACUUUGGCUCCAGCGUCAACAUUAUGCCCAGGGUACUCUAUGAAAAAUUCUUUACACAUCCAUUAUUAGAAACAACCAUGUGUUUGCAGCUUGCAUAUCGUACGCUAUGUUUCCCAACGAGAAUAUUGAAGAACCUCUGCGUCCGAGUUGGUACCUUGUACCCCCAGCAGACUUCGUGGUGAUAGAAACCGGUUCUGAUGAGGGGGCACCCGUCAUCCUAGGGAGGCCAUUCGUGAACACCUCGGGAGCUGUCAUCUACGCUAGUGCUACCAAGAUCAGAUUCUACAUCAAGAGGAGGAAGGAGACGUUUUCCUUCAAGAACAAGACUACACAAAUCUCAGAGCAAUCCCGACAUGAACCAAGGAAGAGGACCAACAGGAGGAACGGGAACAAGCAAAUGUGGACCAAGUCAGCUAAGAUGGACACUGCAGUUCAAGGAGGUCAAGAUCGUCGACUCAAGUCACCAUUCCUGACAAAAAAAAAGGGACGAACCAAGUAUGCCAAGCAUCCAGUGCUCCAUUAAUGGAUACAACUUGUAGAAGACGCUUUACGACACCGGAUCAGGCGUCAACAUAAUGGCCGCAGUCACCUAUCAACUCCUGUUCGGAACCAUGCCCCUAAAACCUACAUACAUUCAGCUCCAGAUGGCAGAUCAGACAUUUUGAAAGGUUAUUGACAUGGGAGAAGACGAGUACGAUCCACCCAUCAUUCUUGGAAGACCGUUCCUCAGCACCGUUAAAGCAAUCAUCUACAUGGGAACCGGAGAAGUCCACAUGCACUCCCCCUCUGAGAAGGUACGCCACUAUUUUACUGACCCUGACUAUAUAGUUGAAGACUCUAAGCAGGCUAGUACAAGAAGAAGACGACGCAACCGCAACCAGAGGAGGAAAAUCAUCAAGGACGGAUGGGCGGACUAUGAAGGAGAAGUGCACCGAGUUAGGUGUGGAGAAAGAAGAUAGUUAUACACGAAGAGGAGGGGCCGCCGGAACCACCGACUACGCCAUCCAGCGAAUCCCAGGACGACUGAGAAAAUGGAGAGUCCCGUUCGGAGGACUUAAAAACACUGAACGCAUGGCCAAGAGGUAAACUUGGUAGUUAUCCUUUCCCUUUCAAUUAUUUAAAAUAGUUUGCUUAGUUAAUCAGGUUCAUAUCAUCUCGAAAAGAAAAUAAAAAUGUUAAAAAUAGUAAGCCCCAUGUGAGUAUGCUCAUGGCAUAAAACCCAUAAGUGGUGGCGUAAAAACAAAAUAAAUAUAUUCCUGUCCUAUAAAAAUGAAAAUAUAAAAAUAAAUUUAUGACCCUACUAAAGAGAGUAAUAUUUAUUAGAGGAAGCUCAACAUGAUAAAGGCUAGAUAUUUAUGCUAACACUUAACUAGUUCCACAAAGCUUUGUUGUCUAUUUGAGCUCCACAGAAUUCAAGGAUCAAAGAAGACUAGCAGACGGAGGACAUCCUAAUCGCUGUCAGGGUGCUGCUAACAUUGAAAUACACCUCCGUCACCUGCUAGCUACAUCAGAAGAAAUUACGUCAAAAUCCAGCUUGGGGGAAAGCACCCCAUUUAUCCAGCUAAGUGUUUCUACUCGCGUUUAUACUUUACUCAAAUAAUAAAAAGAUGCAUAAUCAUAUAAAAACCCAAUUAAAGAUUUUGUGCUUAUAUAUAUAUAUCUUUGCUUAGUUUGCUAUAUAAAUAAAUAAAUAAGUAAAGUUUAUUAUGAACCCUCAUGAUAAGCUCUCACAUGGAAAUGAUGAAUAGUUGCUCUGCCAUGACUAGUUCUCAAAAUUGAAAUCUCUCUCAAGUUUAGGCAUGACUGGUAUUAAUUAAGAUUUGCUCUAAACCUGAACUUGUGGGGAGAGUACUUGAUCUAAAGUCUAAGUGGUUAACGGAUACGAUAUGGGAAGGUUGAGCUGUUGUUUAUCUGUUCUUAGAGAUGCUAGAAUUCUAGAGAAUUUUAUCUUUGAAAAUCUUUAAAAUAUCACAUGAUGAGUUCCUGUAUGAUGAGAGUUUAAAUUCCUACCACAGCCAUAUAUACAUGCUUGCUAGACUUUGAGCCACACAUUUACUUUUUACUGCUUAUGAGCAUUGAGUGUGGUCAAGCUGUGUAGACCAUUAGGAGCUUGUCAUGUGGUUAAAUCAAGAUUCACUUGCACGUUCACUCACACAUGCUGCUUCUACUCCAGAAGUACGCAUCCACAUAUAUCCACCCAUUUCCAUCUCCAGAAUCACCUAAAAAAUAUUCUACUCCUAAUUCGGGAGAGAAUAGCCAAAAACAUUUCUGUUUUCCCCUGUGAAAUAAAUGCUCAAGUUAUCUUGGUUACUACCACUUGCUACAUUAUUUCAAGAGAUGAGUGCUCUAAAAAAGAGAGAAAAAAAAGAAAGAAUACGAGGAAAUAAAAAGUGGCAAGUGCCUGGAACCUCGAAAGAAAAGAAAAAGUGAGAGGAGAGGUAAAAAUGGACAAGUGUCCGAUAGUAGAAUUAGGGGUACAAGAUACCCACCUGAGACAAAAGAAAAAUAAAAUAUAGAGCAUCUCAUUCUCCUCAACAAGUUUCAAAAGAGCAAGAAAGGUAUGUAUCCCCUCAAAAGAGCACAAGUAGAAUUAGACUUUCACCAUUGUUAUCACCAUCAUCACCAUACACCAUUCAUUCGCCACACAUGCACAUCUUGAUUUGACUUAUUGACUUGUUCUUCUCGAUCCAUGGUUUGACUAUGUAAUAAAUGUCUUGUAAGUAUGUAUUAGCUGUCUCCCACUUAUGAGCUCCAGAUAUCAAAACUUUAUUAAAGUAGGGUGAGAGAGAAGGCAAUGCCACAAUGCCUCAUACAAAAAAAUACCACAUACUUUGAGUGAAGGCAUACACCAUUAUUGCCUUGGUAAGGAUCCAGAAAUACCACAAAAGAGAGACUAGAGAGAGUCAUACAAGGAAUCUCUGAGUUUUAUUUGAAAAUCUGCAAAAACUCCAGAGCUAUAGUUAAUCGAAGAACAAGAGACAUGGCGCUUAACUAGACCGUUCUAUCUUUUAACUACUCAAGACAGAAGUGAUGGUUACAAGUCCCAUGGUGGAAGGUAAAAUGAGUAAAUUCAAAUCUUAAAAGUUUACCCUAAUCCAGAGAUGAGAUCUUGUUUGGACGAAUGUGUACCUUUAAGGCAUGAAACUACUGCAGAAACUCUUGAGUUCAUCUUUGCUGAGGGACGAGCAAAGGUUAAGCUUGGGGGAGCUUGUUGACGGUCCUUAAUGCUCACAUUUAACCAUCAACUAAUCAUAGGAAAGGAUCCAACUGCAACUAACACCUAGACUUAGUGUUUUAUCUGACAGAAUUCCACGAGUUUUGGUGUUUAUCUAUUUCUGCAGGGGGUUAUCAGGAAAUACGGAAGAAACGCCCAUACGUUAGGUUUACAUUGAGAUAUUAACGUGCCGCGCAAUUUUCUAUCAUCUAGAAGACUCCAGAAGCCACGGGAACAAAGCAGAGGCUGAGAGGGCUCAGGGACAGGGCGCCCGCCCAAGUCCUUAGGGCGCCCGCCCAGCUACAGUGUCCAAUUCAGACCCGUUUCACGUAUUAUGCUCCACCAACCUAAAGGAUCAAGGAAAACCAUACGAUCAAUGUCGGUUUGAUCUGACGGCCCAGAUUCAUCUGAAAAGACUAUAUAAGCAAGGCCCGCUGGCCCCUGGAGAUCAUAUCUCUUCUAUAGAAUCAAAGCUAGGGUUUCAAUUCUAAAUCCA
rnacentral:lncRNA from 1 species